UUUUUUUUUCUUCACUUUUUCUUCGUCCCCUACCUCUUAACUCUAGAAGCAUCCAUUUUUUCCGGUGACUUGUGCGCCGGAGCCAUCGCUUCUUUCUUCUUCUAUUCAGUCUAGUUGAAUUCCAACCCCUUCCCAUGUGCCUCUUCUAUCCUCCUUUCUUCUUUUCUUCUUCUUCCCCUUCCCACUGUAUCUCCGGGGAUGUCAGACCGGUCUGGCGACCCAACACCAGAUCGGAAUGCAUCAGAGGUGACAGUGGCAAUCCUGUAUUCCUCUAUUUCUCUUGGUCCCGUGGUGUUUUAUGUGUUACAGGUAUCAUUUCUGUGGCCGCUUGGUGGCGGGAGGGACGUGCAUGCACAAAAUUAGUGGAGCAUUCUAGCUGGCAAGAACAACUGCGAUAAUGGUCAACAAUGGUCCACAUGAGUUGGAUGCGAACCUGGUAGGUGGAUGCAACAUCGUCGUAUAUACCGAGACAAUCUCCAGGUUCUACCCGUGGGAAUUGUUACCUCCCCUUAUUCAAUUUUUUAUUGUGUUAGUUAAAUUAUUGCAAUCUUUGUUCCUAUUUGUUUAUUCAUCGUAUUAGUACACUUAUAGUUGUAUAGUCAUUGUCUACCUUGGUCUGUUGCCCGUUGUGUUAGUGAUUCUUCUUAGUAUGUCGUGGGUAUAGUGGUUGUGGUCUGGGAUGGUCGAGUAAGCUCAUGUCCUCGGGGGGAGUGGGGGGUAGAGCGGGAGGUAGGGAAAGGGUCAGGGGUUGGGUCGGAAGGCAAGGGAGGUAAAGGGAUCAAGGGUGCUAAUAGGUUAAGAAUCAUGUCAUGGAACGUAAGUACAUUGAAAAGUAAGUCUAUAGAAUUGGCGAAGAUUCUCUGGAUGAGGAGGGUCAAUAUAGCGUGUGUCCAGGAGACAAGGUGGGUAGGGUCGAGUGCGAAAGAUGUGGACGAGUAUAAACUUUGAUACUCAGGGGUCAAGAGAGGUAAGAAUGGAGUGGGUAUCUUGGUGGAUAGGGGUCUUAAAGAGUAUGUGGUCGAAGUUAGAUGAGUGGAUGAUAGGUUGAUGGUUAUUAAGUUCGUGGUCAGUAAGUACACCCUAAACAUCAUUAGCGGCUAUGCGCCGCAUGCGGGCCUAAAUGAGGAGGUUAAAUGACACUUCCGGAGGGGAUAGAUGAGAUUGUGCGCUAGGUUCUGCCUGCCGAGAAGUUAUUCAUAGGAGGGGAUUUUAUCACGAUCCCAGUUGCCCUUCGCGAAUAUGUCGUGACGGCACGUAGUCUCUACGACUAGGUAAAUCUAACAAUGCGGAAUAUAAACCAAUUUGCGCAAGAUAAUAAAAAAAUGAACUGGUAAAAUAAAUUAGUGUUCAAGGUGCCGUCUGGCACAUACAAUGUCAACUCUCAUAGCUAAACAAAGUUCCCAAAUCCCGGAAUCUCACAAAUCACAAGCUAAGGGAUACAUAAGAAGCUCUCAUUCAAGAAUUUCUAUACAAGGAGAAAUACUCGAAGGACUAUACUUAUUAUAGAAAGAUGGAAAGGGACUCUUCGGUCUGCGAACGCAGUAGAUAUACCUCGAAGUCUCUACCUAUACGCCACCCUCCAAGGCUGACAGAACUAAAUGAGGGUACAUGUAUCUACACAAUAAAAGUAUGCAGAAGAGUAGCAUGAGCACACCACAACGAUGUCCAGUAAGUAUCAAAACUAACUGCAAUGGAGUAGGGACGAGGAACAGUCAAGAUAUCUACUGGUCAAUAAACAGUAUAAUCAUAGGAAUAAUGGAAAUGAUAUAUAAUUAUGCAAGGACUGCAUGAACGACUAAAAUGCUAUGAUUCAAAAAUACUUUUUAAAAAAGGGCAACCAGCAACAACGCGAAAAUAAAAAAUGAUGAGACAAAUGACGGUAGAAUCAAAUUCCAAAUCCUAAGUCACAGUACAACAAGGACAAAUAAGUCACUAACUCAUUAUUCUGCAAUGAUGCUUACAUAAGGUGUUUUCAAUUCUUUCCACAAUUUUACCAAAAAUCUCGGACCAGCCACAACUUAUGAAAACCGAGCAUCUGAAGUCUAACACUUGCCAUCAUGUUCUCAAGUCAAUCUCACUGUCAUGCUAACAACUAACUAGUCAACUAGGCCCACUCUCACAUAUAUAAUGGGUAAACGAGGGCGUAUCUCCACCCCUAGCCAAAUCAGGAGGAAUUCAUCUCUAAUAGGUAUGUCAAACUACGUGUAUGCUAGUGCAAGUAUAUUUAACAAUAAUUCUAACAACUAGUAAGCAUAAGAAAUGGAACGACCAACACCUGAAUUAUUCGCACCGGAUUGAGGGUCCAACUAUGUAUAUGCUUGUGCAAGUGUAUUUAACAAGAGUUUUGCCAACUAGUAAGUAUAAGAAAUGGAAUGACCCACACCCGAAUUAUUCGCAACCGGAUAGAAUCAAUGAAAAUAUCAGUUCAGAAUACAAUGAGUUUAACGGGGGUUUUCCCAGGAUAUCGUUCUAUAGUCUCAAACAUAGAUACGUGGGCUAGGGAUCUCUUGGUAUCUGGAGGAUCUCUUGGUAUCCUCAAUAGGUUUACUAAGGAUCUUUUCGUAUCCCUAGGAUCCCUUGAUAUCCUCAAUAGAUGUACCGAGGAUCUCUUGGUAUCCUCAAUAUAUUUGUUGGGGAUCUCCUGGUAUUUCGAGGAUCUCUUGGUAUCCUCCAUAUAUGUGCUGAGGAUCUCCUGGUAUCCCCCACUACAACACAAUCAACAUAGAUGUACAGCCCAAACAAUAGAAUAGCAUUAUCCCCGCAAGGGAGUCAACAACAUAAACAAUAACAUCCCGGCAAGGGAAUCAACAACAGAAAAAAUAACGUCCCGGCAAGGGAAUCAACAAUAGAAACAAUGACAAGGGAAUCAACAAUACGUAGUAACGUCACAUAACACCAAGGAAAAACACAAUAACCUCAAUGACAAAACAAGACAUAAUAAGUACAUAAUAACUGAAGCGAUACCACAACAGUUGGACAUAUAAUAUAUUUGAACAAAGUCACAGAUGAACUUACAAUCAGGAGUAUCAGAACAGUAAGGAAGUUAAUUAUGAAUUAAAUAAUUAAAAUUUUAAAAAAUAUUAACUAAUCAUAAGAUAUCUAUCUUCUUUCCAAUUAAGACCGAUUAAUUACAUGAGAUAUCACAUUUAUGAUUUCCAAUUAAAGACGGGUAGUUAGGACGGGUAAUGUGACUAUAAAAGGGUAAUUAUCUUCAGUUAAACACAUAAAAGUCAAUUAAACAGCAAGAAUAAAUCAAGAAGGGCAAAGAAAUACCAAGUAAGACAUGUAGAGGUGAAUCUAAUAACAGGGAACUCAAUCGUAUCAAUGACAUCCUCAUACAUCGAUGAUUUCAAGAGUCUAAGAGCCUAAAAGGGAUAAUUGACCACAAAUAAAUCCUAGCACGCACUCGUCACCUCGCGUACACGGAACACAAUCAACAGAGAAGACUCAAAUCCUAAGGGGAAGUCCCCCACACAAGGUUAGGAAAGAUACUUACCUCAAAUCGGCUAAAAUCAACUAGUAACCACGUUCUUCCCAUGAGUUCUCGACUCCAAUUGGCCAAAAUCUAUUCAAUUAGAUCACACAUUGCAAUUAACAUCUCAAACAACUGAUUCCAUAAUUUAAUACAAAGCUAAAGCACGAAAUUAAGUAGAAUAACCAAAAUGCCCCUCAGGCCGUCUCGGAACCAGAGGAAUUUAAUAUUUUAAGAACCCGCAUACUCUCACGAGUCUAACCAUGUAUAAAUCUCUCAAAUCAGAGGUCAAACACUCCCUCAAAACUCAAUAAUUUAGUCUAUGAAGUUCUACCCAUUUUACAUUCAAAAACUGAAAUUAAGAGGAGAUUCAUGAAAAUUGGUCUAAGUCAAAUGAGAAUCACUUACCCAAGUUGCCCAGGUGAAAAUCCCUUCAAAAAUCUCCAAGAACCGAGCUCUAGAAGUCAAAAUGUGAUAAAAUGAUGAAACCCCCAAAUUUGGGAUUAAAUUAUAUCUGCCCAGUUGUUUGACCAUCGCGAACGCGGAAGAAGCAUCGUGUUCGCGAAGAAGAAAAAGUGAAGGGGCUCUCUUACUCAUCAUGAACGCGAUAGUGCAUCCGCGAACACGAAGAAGAAGAAUCAGGUGGCCCAGGGACUGCCCUUCGCGAACGCGUGGGCCUAUAAGGGAAUGCGAUAGAGGGAGAGGGAGAGCUUCGCGAACGCGAGGCUCUUAACAUGAACGCAAAGAAGGAUUUUUUUAGGUGACCAUAAGUAAAGCUUCACGAACGCGAGAUGGAGCCUGCAUGCGAAAGAGGAGAUCAGAAGCAGUAGACAGCAGUUCAAAAACAAGGGAAAAUGACCGGUAGCCCAUCUUAAACACACCUGAGGCUCCCGAAACCUCGUCUAAUCACACACGCAAGUAAUAUAACCUAACAUGGACCCUGUCGAAGCUCCAAAUCACAUAAAACAACAUCGAAACGACGAAUAAAACCAAAAAUCAAGUUUAUGAACUUCCAAAUCUUCAAAUAGCAAAACGCAUGCCCAAACCUAUCAAUUCAACCCGGAAUGACACCAAAUUUUGCAGACAAGUCCAAAAUGACAUAACAGAGCUGUUCCAACUCUCAAAAUUGCAUUCCGGCCCCGAUAUCUCAAAAAGUCAACUGUGGGUCAAACUUCUUCAUUUUCCAACUUCAACUUUCGCGGAAAUGCCUCAAUUUAUUCUACGGACCUCCAAAUCUGAAUCCCAGACGCACGCCUAAGUCCAAAAUCACCAAACGAAGCUGUUGAGAUCAUUCGCUACCCAUUCUAGGGUCGUGUACCCAAAAGUCCAAUUCCGGUCAAAUUUUCACCAUUUUAACUUCCAAAAUGAGGUUUCUUCUCUAGAAUUGACUCUAAACCAUUCGAAAACCGAAUUCCACCAUGCACGCAAGUCUAUACUCAUGUUCCAAAGCUGCUCCAGACCUUAUGUCGUUGAACGGCGCUUAAUUUCUCAAAAUGACCGGUCGGGUCGUUACAUCCUCCCCCUCUUAAAACCAACAUUCGUCCUCGAACUUGCUAAGAUUCACCUUGAAGUUCUCAAGUCACUGAGUGCGAAAUUCCAACAUACACCCGUGGGUAACCCCAGGUCACUUAAGAUUCGCCUUGAAGUCCUCAUGUCACUGAGUGCGCACUUCCAACAUACACACGUGGGUGAUCCCACGUCACCCAAUCCUCUCUAAGAAUGACGACACCAUCUCAACUGAAAUUUGGUCUUCCUAGUAAUACCAAUAAGCCUUCAAGCCGAAAUUUUUCUCCUCCCAUCCAAUUCCAAAAGACCCAACUCUAAAUCUAUAUCCAGCAUCAGUCUCAACCAGCUAUUUCAGUACAAGCCAACACACACAGAAUACAACCACACAACAUGACACAUCACACAUAGGCCCACAAUAAUAUUUCUGAUAGAAAUACUUGCCUGAGAUCAAAUAUGCACUGGCGUUAAGCCUCAUAUUCAAUAGAAACUCUUUUCCCAACCUCCACAACACUGACGAUGGUACAAUAACCAUGAAAACCACAUAACAAAAUACCCGAAUAACCAAAUCUCAACUAGCACAAUCGGGUGCACACCCCACAAACUAAUACUCGAGAAGCAUAGAAUGAAAAUGAAUAAAUACGGGAACGGAAAACACAUAAGGGAACUAACAAACAAAUAAAACUAGCAUAAAUUCCUCUAAAACACAAUUCUACAACGACAUCUAACAAGAAAGAAUGAAAGAAUAUAAAAGACUCACGAGGAUCUUACACUGAUAUAACUCCCAUCGCGGUACACAUUCCGGACUCAAUAUAUCAAAACACCUGAAAUCACAAGGGUCCCGCAUUCAACACUGAAUCACAAGUAGGGCUCACACUAACCCAUCUAGAAACUCGCACUAGAUCAAUUAUGUCUAUAAUUCACAACACACACUGGCUCCCACACCGGUGGAUCAUAGAAAUCACAGCUCAUAAGCAAGAAUACUCAAAAGUGAUAUCAAACCUAUCAAAACAAACAAUAGGAAUUUACUACUAGCCUCGUAACUCUCGAUAAUGGAUAGAAACAGACAAUAGACACGGCUAUCACUCAUAGAACCUCCCAACAGUAUAAUCACAUAAAUCGAGUGAAAAUCAUGAAGCACUCCCAUAAAUGGAACAACAAACAAGGAACUCAACCUGAUAGGUAGAAGUGUGAUGAACUACAGGUAGUGCCUCUCUAUCACAAACUGAAUUAGCACCUGAAUGACACUAGGUGGCACACUAGCCUCAAGCCUACUAUACGAAACAUAGCAACUAGUUGGCCUUCCCCCUCUUGGGAGCCCUCUACCUUCCUGAAUACCUCACUACGACACAUCGGUCCGAAGCUUGGGAAAAUCUCUCACCAUGUGGCUAGUACCUCCAAACUCAAGGCACUCUCUUUGCCGAUGAGGCGAUGGGAACUGUGCGAUACGGGUACUCUAAGACCCAUGAACACCUGAGUCACCAUGCAAGUCCUGAAUCGCGAACUGAACUGGCUGACCCGCAAAACCUUUACCAUGACGUACCCUGCCUCCAACAAAGGCGAGUAUAUCUCACCGGUCUACAAGGCCUCCUUGCCUCCUCAAGAUAUCUCUCCUGAUCUAUCUCUCUCUCUCUCUAUCUCUCUCUCUCUCUCUCUCUCUCUCUCUCUCCCUCUCUCUCUCUCUCUCUCAUGACCCUGCCUACCCUCUCUCUCUGUCAUGCAUACCAUCUAUCCUCCUAGCAAUGUUUAUCACCUGCUGAUAUGGAACGUCCAUCUCUAACUCACGAGCCAUAUUGGAUCUGAUGCUGGGAAUAAGUCCCUCAGUAAAUCGGUGAACCUUCUCACAAAUAGUAAAAACCAAGGCUGAGGCAUGUCUAGCCAAAUUGGUGUAAUGGACAACAUACUCCGAGACGAUCAUAACACCUUAGCGCAAAUGCUCAAACUCCAUGAGCCAUGCAUCCCUAAGGCUCUAAGGAACAACCUCUUGCAGGAACAUAUCUGAAAAUUGGGCCCAAGUCAGUGAAGCUGCCUCGUCUGGGUUGUCAAACUCAUAGGUGCACCACCAGUACUAGGCGGCUCCUUAAAGCUGGAAAGUAGUGAAAAGGAACCCCGCUCGAUCCAAAAUACCUAUAGUCAAAAAAUGCGAUAACACUCAUCAGGAAAUUCCAAGGCAUCCUCCGAUGCUAAACCACUGAACUCAGGAGGCUUAAACCUCAUAAAUCUCUCAAGUCUCAUCUACUCCUGCUCGAAAGUCGCUGUCAUGCCCUCGAGUGAACUGGUGAUGCAUGCAGCGCACGAAUAAUCUCAAGGACUUGCUCAAUAUGCACGAGUAUGGACGGCGGGAGUUUGUGCUCCUCCCCCGGCCUAGAGUGUAGCUGUAGUAAGUGGAAGCAGUACUGCUUGAGCCAAAAUGGUGUACAUACUCAUGAACUAUGCCAAAGUCUCCUGAAAGGCUGGAUUAGUAGUAGCUGUAGGCGUCAGAUGCUCGAACUCCGGCUGGAUCUGCUGGUGCUACCUCGGCGGCCAUUUGCUCAGGUGCUCUCUGCACCACGUGUACAUUUUCGAGUUCUAGCCCGGCCCUGACCUCCGACGGCUGUAGCAAGGGGCGGGGGUGCCUGAUCACCUUGGGCAAUACGUGUCCUCACCAUCGAUGAGAGAGUGGAAGGCAGAGCUUUAGGAUUGUGAAUGCCAAAAUCUCGCACGACUGGGAAAUCAAAUGAAGUAGAAUUUUUCCUAAUGAUUACAUUGCCUCUUGAAGAAAAGUACAGAUGUCUCCAUACAAAUUUACGAGACUCUAAUAAAUUGACUUGUGAUCUAUUACUCCUAUGAACCUAUAGCUUUGAUACCAACUUGUCACGACCCCAGUUCCCCCUCCGUGAACAUAUCGUGACGGUACCUAGUCCUUACGACUAGGUAAGCCUAACAAUGCUGUUUUCAUUCUCGAUUCUACGAGAAUUUUUAUGAAAGCCUUUCAUUUGCUUCUCUUCGAUAUAAACCAAUUUCUGGAAGAUAAUAACAAAAACAAACUGGUGAAAUAAAUCAGUGUUCAAGGUGCCUCCUGGCACAUACAAUAUCAACCCUCAUAGCUAAACAAUGCUCCACAAACCCGAAAAUCUUAAGAAGCUCUGACUCAAGAAUGUCAAUACAAAGAGAAAUACUGGAAGGACUAUACAUAUUACAGAAAACUGGAAAGGGACUCCUCGGUCUGCGAAUGCAGCAGAUAUACCUCGAAGUCUCUACCAAUACGCCCCCUUCCAAGGCUGACAGAACUAAAUGGAGGUACAUGUAUCUGCACAACAAAAUUGUGUAGAAGAGUAGCAUGAGCACACCACAGAGGUGCCUAGUAAGUAUCAAGACUAAUAAUAGGAAUAAUGGAAAUGAUAUAUAAUUAUGUAAAGACUGCAUGAACGACUAAAAUGCUACGAUUCAAAAAUACAGGAAAAAAAGGGCAACCAGUAACAACGAGAAAAUAACAAAUGAUGAGACGAAAGACGGCAACACAGUACACAAGGACAAACAAGUCACUAACGCAUUAUUCUGCAAUGAUGCUUACAUAAAGUGUUUUCAACUCUUUCCACAAUUUAACAAAAAUCUCGGACCAGCCACAUUACAUGAAAACCCAACAUCUGAAGUCUAACACUUGCCAUCUUGUGCCCCUAUCAAUCUCGCGGUCAUGCUAACAACUAAAUAGUCAACUAGGCCCACUCUCACAUAUAUAAUGCGUAAACGAGGGCGUAUCUCCACCCCUAGCUAAAUCCGGAGGAAUUCAUCUCUAAUAGGAGGGUCCAACUAUUUGUAUGCUUGUACAAGUGUAUUUAACAAGAGUUCUACCAACUAGUAAGUAUAAGAAAUGGAACGACCCGCACCCGGAUAGAAUCAAUGAAAAUAUCAUUUUAGAAUACAAUGCGUUUAGCAGGGGUUUUCCUAGGAUAUCGUCCUGUGGUCUCAAACAUAGAUAUGUGGGCUAGGGAUCUCUUGGUAUCCGUAGGAUCCCAUGGUAUCCUCAAUAGGUGUAUUAAGGAUCUCCUGGUAUCCCUAGGAUCUCUUGGUAUCCUUAAUAGAUGUACUGGGAUCUCUUGGUAUCUCGAGGAUCUCUUGGUACUCUCAAUAUAUGUGCUGGAGAUCUCCUGGUAUCCCGAGGAUCUCUUGGUAUCCUCCAUAUAUGUGUUGGGGAUCUCCUGGUAUCUCACACUACAACACAAUCAACAUAUAUGUACAGCCCAAACAAUAGAAUAGCAAUAUCCGGGCAAGGGAGUCAACAACAGAAACAAUAACGUCCGAGCAAGGGAAUCAACAACAAAAACAAUAACGUCCUGGCAAGGGAAUAAACAAUAGAAAAAAUAAUGUCCCGGAAAGGGAAUCAACAAUACCUAAUAACGUCAGGGAACACCAAGGAAAAACACAAUAACCUCAACGACAAAUAAGACAUAAUAAGUACAUAAUAACUACACCGAUACCACAACAGUUGGACAUGUAAUAUAUUUACAUGAAGUCAAAGAUGAACUUACAAUCAAGGAGUAUCCAAACAGUAAGGAACUAAACAUGAAUCAAAUAAUUACAAUUUAAGGAAAUAUCAACUAAUCAUAAGAUAUCUAUUUUCUUUCCAAUUAAGACCAAUUAGUUACAUGAGAUAUAAUAUUUAUGACUUCCAAUUAAAGACGAGUAGUUAGGACGGGUAAUAUGACUAUAAAAGGGUAAUUAUCUUCAACUAAAGACGUAAAAGUCAUUUAAACAGCAAGAAUAAAUCAAGAAGGGCAAACAAAUACCAAGUAAGAUAUGUAGAGGUGAAACUAAUAACAGGGAACUCAAUCUUAUCAAUGUCAUCCUCAUACAUCGAUGAUUUCAAGAGUCUAAGAGCCUAAAAGGGACAAAUUACCACAAAUAAAUCCGAGCACGCACUUGUCACCUCGUGUACAUGGAAUACAAUAAACAGAUAAGACUCAAAUCCUAAGAGGAAGUCCCCCACACAAGGUUAGGCAAGAUACAUACCUCAAACCGGCUAAAAUCAACUAGCAACCACGUUCUUGCCACUAGUUCUCAACUCCAAAUGGCCCAAAUCUAUUCAAUUAAACCACACAUUGCAAUUAACAUCUCAAGAAACUGAUUCUAUAAUUUAAUGCAAAGCUAAAGCAUGAAAUUAAGUAAAAUUACCAAAAUGCCCCUCAGGCCAACAUCUCGGAACCGGAUGAAUUCAAUAUUUUCAGAACCCUCAUACUCUCAUGAGUCUAACCAUGUAAAAAUCUCUCAAAUAGAAGGUCAAAAACUUCCUCAAAACUCAAUAAUUUAGUCUAUGAAGUUCUACCCAUUUUACAUUCAAAAACUGAAAUUGGAGGAUGAAAUUAAGAGGAGAUUCGUGGAAAUUGGUCUAAAUAAAAUGAGAAUCACUCACCCAAGUUGCCCAGGUGAAAAUCCCUUAAACAAUCGCCAAGAACCGAGCAUUAGAAGUGAAAAUAUGAUAAAACGAUGAAACCCUCGAAUUUGGGAUUAAAUUAUGUCUGCCCAGUUAUUUGGCCAUCGCGAACGCGAAAGAAGCAUCACGUUCGCGAAGAAGAAAAGGCGAAGGGUCUCUAUUACUCAUCAUGAACGCGAUUGUGCGCCCGCGAACGCGAAGAAGAAGAAUCAGGUGGCCCAGGGACUGCCCUUCGCAAACGCAUGGGCCUGUAUACGAACGUAGAGAGGGAAAUGCCCAAACUAAGCGAACGCGGGAAUGGGAACGCGAACGUGAUGGAGGGAGAGGCAGAGCUUCACGAACACGAGGCUCUUAACACGAACGCAAAGAAGGAUUUUUUAGGUGACCAUAAGUAAAGCUUCGUGAAUGCGAGAUGGAGCCCGCGAACGCGAAAGAGGAUAUCAGAAGCAGAAGACAGCAGUUCAAAUACAAGGGAAAAUCACCCGUAGCCAAUCCGAAAUACACGUGAGGCCCCCGAAACCCCAUCUUAUCACACACUCAAGUAAUAUAACCUAACAUGGACACGCUCAAAGUUCCAAAUCACAUAACACAACAUCGAAACGAUGAAUCAAACCAAAAAUCAAUUUUUAUGAACUUCCAAAUCUUCAAAUAGAUAAACUCAUGCCGAAACCUAUCAAUUCAACUCGGAAUGACGCCAAAUUUUGCAAACAAGCAUAAAAGAGCUGUUCUAACUCUCGGAAUCUCAUUCAGACCCGGAUAUAUCAAAAUUCAACUGUGGGUCAAACUUCUUUAUUUUCCAACUUCAACUUUUGCCGAAAUGCCUCAAUUUAUUCUACGGACCUCCAAAUAUGAAUCCGGAUGCGUGCCUAAGUCCAAAAUCAAAAUACAAGCUGUUGACAUCAUCUGCAACCCAUUCCGGGGUCAUUUACCCAAAAGUUCAGUUCCUGUCAAAUUUUCACCGUUCUAACUUCCAAAAUAAGGUUUAUUCUCUAGAAUUGACUCUAAGCCAUUGAAAACCGAAUUCCACCAUGCACGCAUGUCAAUAAUCAUGUUCCAAAGCUUCUCCAAACCUUAUGCCGCUGAACGGGGCUUAAUUUCUCAAAAUGACUGAUCGGGUCGUUAUAGAUUUCAAUGGUCAUAUUAGGGCGGCCGUAAGUGGUUAUGGAGAGGUGCAUGAAGGCUUUGGUUUUAGGGGGAGAAAUAGAGGAGGUACCAUGCUAUUGGAAUUUUCUAAGGCUUUUGGGUGUGAUUGUGAACUCUAGAUUUUCAAAGAGGAGUGAGCAUUUGGUUACUUUUCAAAAUGUGGUUGCGAGACUCAGAUUGACUAUCUCCUCCUCUAGAGGUGUGAUAGCGGGCUGUGUAAGGACUGCAAGGUCAUUUUGAGUGAGUCUCUCGUGACACAACAUAGACUCUUGGUGCUAGACAUUGGUAUUACGUUAAAGAGGAUGAAACGGACUGCUCGAGGACCACCGAGAAUCCGGUGAGGAGCCUUGACUAAGGAUAAAGCCCAAGAGUUGGAGUGGAGGCUAUCAGCUAUGGGUGCUUGGAAGAGCAGUGGGGACGCAAAUACUAUGUGGUUAGUGACAACGAAAUGCAUUAGUGAGAGAGGUAUUAGGGUUCUCGGUCGGUGUCUCUAGUGAGCAUAAAGGAGACUGGUGGUGGAAUGAAGUGGUCCAAGAUAAAGUGGAAGCGAAGAAGGCAGCAUACAUGAAGUUAGUGAGAAGCAUAGGUGAGGAGGAGAGACGAGCGUGCAUGGAAAGAUAUAAGGUAGCUAGGAAGGAAGCUAAACUGUCAGUCACGGAGGCUAAGACUGCGGCUUAUGGUCGGAUGUACGAGGAACUUGGGGAAAAGAGAGGGGAGAAGAAGUUAUUCCGGCUAGCCAAGUUGAGAGAGAGGAAGGCUCAGGAUUUGGAGCAAGUGAGAUGCAUCAAGGACGAAGAUGGUAGGAUACUGAUGGAAGAUGCCUAUAUUAAGAGGCAAUGGCAGGCUUACUUCUAUAAACUCCUGAAUGAGAAAGGGGAUCAGAAUAUUGUGUAACGCGAAUUGGAGCAUUCUGAGAGUCACCGUAACUUCGGGCACUGCAGACGUAUCAAGGUGGAUGAGUUUGUGGGGGCUAUGCGUAAGAUGAGUAGGGGCAGAGCUAUCGGGCCAGACGAGAUCCCGGUAGAAUUAUGGAAGUGUGGUAGGGAGAGCAGGCAUGGAGUGGUUAACUGGGUUAUUUAAUAUUAUUUUUAAGGCGAAGAGGAUGCCAGAUGAGUGGAGGUGGAGUAUGGUGGUUCUAUUAUAUAAGAACAAAGGUGAUAUCCAAAGUUGUAACAAUUAUAGGGGUAUUAAAUUACUGAGUCAUACCAUGAAAGUGUGAGAGAGGGUCACUGAAGCGAGGGUGAGGAUGGCAGUGUAUGUAUCUGACAACCAGUUCGGAUUCAUGUCGGGUCGUUCUACUACAUAAGCGAUACAUCUUUUUAGGAGGUUGGUGGAACUGUAUAGAGAGAGAAAAAAGGAUCUACACAUGGUGUUUAUUGACCUAGAGAAAGCGUAUGACAAGGUUCCUAGAGAAGCUCUCUGGAGAUGCUUGGAGACUAAAGGUGUGCAAGUUCCCUAGAUCAGGGCAAUUAGGGACAUAUAUGAUGGGGCUAAGACUCCUGUUAUGACAGUAGGAGGUGACUCCGAGUACUUUUUGAUUGAAAUGGGGUUACACCAAGGCUCUGCGCUCAGUCCGUUCUUAUUUUCCCUGGAGAUAGAUGCAUUAACAAACCAUAUUCAAGGGGAGGUGCCAUGGUGCAUGCUAUUUGUCGAUCACAUAGUUAUAAUUGAUGAGUCACGAGUCGAUGUUAACGAGAGAUUAGAAGUUUGGAGACAGACUCUUGAGCCUAAAGGUCUCAAGCUGAGCAGAACGAAGACUGAAUACCUGGAAUGUAAGUUCAGCACUGAGCCGGGGGAAGUGGGCAUGGAUAUGAGGCUUAAAUCACAAUUUAUCCCAAGUAGAGGCAGCUUCAAGUUCAUUGGCUCGGUUAUCCACGAGGAAUGGGGAUAGAUGAGGAUGUCACACUCUGUAUUGGGAUAGGAUGGAUGAAGUGGAGGUUAGCAUCCGGAGUUUUGUGUGACAAGAGAAUGCCAGUGAUACUCAAAGGUAAGUUCUAUAAAGCUGUGGUUAAACCGGCCAUGAUGUAUGGGGCUGAGUGUUGGCCAAUUAAGAACUCACAUAUCCAAAAGAUGAAAGUAGCAGAAAUGAGGAUGUUGAGGUGGAUGUGAGAACACAAAAGGAUGGACAAGAUUAUAAAUGAGGAUAUUCGGGAGAAGGUGCAUGUGGCUCCCAUUGAUGACAAGAUGCGGGAAGCGAGACUCAGAUGGUUCGGACAUGUACAGAAGAGAAGCCCAGAUGCUCCAGUAAGGAGGUGUGAGCGACUGAUUGUGGAGGGCACGAGAUGAGGUAGAGGGCGGCCUAAAAAGUAUUUGGGAGAAGUGAUCAAGCAAUAUAUGGCGAGGCUUCAGAUUUCCGAGGACAUGGCACUUGAUAGGAAGUUAUGGAGGCUGAGUAUUACGGUUGUAGGCUAGGAGAUAGCUAAGUCUUGCAUUACCUUGUUCGGUUGUGAGCCUAGUUUGGUAGGGCUUUGUCUGGAAUAGCUAGGGGCAUUGUCAUGUCUUAUUAUUUUUACUUUUCAGUGCAGAACCUAUUUACUAGCCAUCAUUUUUGUCUUGCAUUUUCCCUUCUGCAUUUUUUGCUUCUAUUUUUCAUAUGAUCUCUGUGGUGAAACUAAUAUUCCUCCUUUUUGUUUUUCUUAUUAUCUUGAGCUGAGGGUCCUCCGUAAAUAGUCUCUCUACUCCUUUGGGGUAGGGGUAAGGUCUGCCUGCAUGCUAUCCUCCCCAGACCUUAUUUAUGGGAUUUGAUUGGGUUGUUGUUAUUGUAUAUACAUAAUUUAUAUAUGUGCAAUUAAUAUAUAAUUUAUGUAUAUUUAGUAGCGAAAGUAAAUACUUUUGUCAAGAAGCUAUAUGUGUAACUUUCCCGAGCAAAAUCAGGCUCAAUCCAGCCACAACUCAAUUAGAGGUUGGCUCAGUGGUUGAAAAUAAAGUUCGGUUGGGCCCAAUAUCUUGUAACAACAGGAGUUACAUAAUUUUAGAUCAUUAUAGUGACAGAAGCUAAAAGACAUAAAGUGACAGAAGCUCACUAGGAUUUAGGGGCGAAGCUGGUGUUAUGACAAAUGAACAUUUUUAGUAGAAAAAUUAUAUUAUAUAUAAUAAAAAUUAUUGCUAUACUAAAAGUUAAACUUUAAAUACCUUUGCAUAACUUACUAACAAAAAGUAUUUAAAUUUUAAAGAUCCUUAUUAAAUUAUCUAACUUCGACACUACUAGGAUUGAUGUUGUUCCAUCGUCUUCCGUGUAAGUGGAGCCUAUAGAUAUAUCAACAUUUUCUAUAGAUGUAGUAACAUUUUAUGAGUAACAUUGAACUAAUAUCUAAGACGUAGCAACACUUUUUAGUACUAAAUAACUAAGAUUAAAUACAAUAUCAUGUCCUCAAUUGUGUCGGCUAUAAUUUUACAGUUUGUUUGGACGGUUGUUAGUUUGUUGUAUUAUAGCAUAUUAUUACUUUAUAUAUAAUAUUUAUUUUAAUUAUUAUUUAAAUUUUAUUGUAUCGUAUUAUUAAAUCUGUCGUUAUGUAACGAUAAAAAUUAUCAUUUCAUGGAACAACCAAUUUGGUAUAGUCACGUCAUUCCCUUAUUUCUCUCUUUCAACUUGCCCUUCCCUAAUAUUAUUAAAUAAUUCUAUUUUAUCGUUUAACUUAUUUUUUAUAUAAUAAUUCUACAUUGUACCUUAAUUUUUCUUUAUAAUAUUGUAAGUUUAUUCUUUAUAUUAUAGGUCUAUGACGUCAUGAACGAUAAAAAACAAUACAAUCUAUCCAAAUAUUAUAUACUUCAAAACGAUUUAGAACAAUAUAAUUGAAUACAAUAUAUACGAUACAUUAUGAAAAGAUACAUAACAAUUAUCCAAAUAAGCUGUCAACUUACAUGGAAUCUAUGUGGGCCCUCUGUUAUUAUCGCAUUUCGCGUUAAAUGGAUUUGUCAUAAUUUUUAUAAGUUAAUUGACAUUAAUAUUUUACUUUGAUUAGUAAUAUUAUAUAUUAUGCUAUUAUUUAUCUUAAUUACCUUAAUCCCCUUUGAGAGUUUCCUAAGUGUCAUUCAAUGUUAAUCUAAAACAUUAGGGAGAAUCUCUUUUAAUUAUUAUUUUGCAAGAAUAGAGAGGGUUGAGGUCGUAGUUGUUUGACCGCAAAAGUUAUCGAACCCUUUCCGAGUAAAUCAAUCAAAAUAAAUCAAGAGGAAAUUGUAAUCGAAGAUAAUAAGACCUUAGGAUAUAUGAUAUGCUCGCUUGUUUUUAGUCGCAGUAUGCGAAAGAGAUUCAAAGAGAGAGAUUCAAAGAGAGAGAUAGAGAAGUUCAAUAAUAAUCAUAGAGAAGUUCAAUAAUAAUCAUCUGCCCCUUUACAAUGCUAGGAUCCCCUAUAUAUAUCAAGGGAUCCUCCUCCCCAUAUUAAAAUAAAUAGAAACUAAAUAUAUCCUUGAAGGGAUGACGGAACCUAUGGUGUCGUUUCUCCUAAUGCUACUAACUCGUACCUCUGCCCUAUCUAAUGCACGCUUGACGGUUAUCCGUGCCGAUGCAGAGACGUAGUUGGUCAAAUUCGACCCUAUAUAAUUAGUCCCUCCUUUCGUUGGGGUCGCAGCGAGGUGCGUCCUCGAUGGAUUGAAUUAAUAACCUCGUUCAGGGAGAGUUUGACCUUUGUUCAAAAGUGGUAACGUAGCAGGUGGAGGAAAGCACUCGCGACUGUUGAAAUACUGACACGCAAUUCCUUUUCUUUGGUGACGUCAACACUCACAUGCAUCAUCAUUACGCAUAUUCCCGAGGCAACACAAAAGGCGCUCUGACAUUUGGUUUCCCGCGCCAGUUCGAAAUCUGUCUCUUCGAUUUUAGCGCCAUCCAACCCUAUAAAUAGGGGAAGGGUUUAACCUGAAACAAGUUUUGAUCACUUUCGAGAGACAUUCCAUUUACUCAAGUAGCGUUUUCAUUCUCCGGCUUUUCUUCGUGGUUAGAAAAUUCCCUCUCCUCCGUUGUGUUACGCACAUUUCCUUCUUGAACGGGAACCAUGGUCAAAUAUCGGUGGGAUAAUUCGAGGGUUACUGAUACUAAUCCGUCAAAUAUGUUGCCUUCCUCUGCGGUGGUGAGAGAGAAGAAGAGGAAGACAUUAGUCCCCUCACAGUGGAUACUUUGUUACCAAAGAACCUCCUAUCUCGAAGCGACUUCAACAAAGAUUCACCUGCGCAACCAUCGGAACUCUCCGAAUUGUUACAAGAUCAUUUAGAUGAUCUCCGCGAGACAUACGGUAUAUCUGAUCAUGUAGAGAUAGUUCCAACGAGGGCAGAUCAUGUAGACAUGCAUAGACCGGGAUAUUGCACCUUUUACGAAUACCCAUUUGUGAUUGGCUACGGUCUAUCCAUUUUCCCUUUGGCAGAGGAGCUCUGCCGCUUUUACAAUGUAUGCCCGUGUCAGUUUACGCCAUAUACCCUAAAAAUAUGGCGGAUACUAUCCAAAUAUGCGGAGCUUGUUGGGUGUGAGGUCUCUAUCCACCAUCUUCUGCAAUUAUUCAGUGUCGGUACCUGAGAGGCACCAUACUGCACUUGAGAAGUCAUGGGUACAAAGGGGCUGGUGAUCAAGACCGAUGACUGACCUAGACACGGAUUUUGGCGUAGAUAUUUCCAUGUUAGGACUGAGCACCUGGUCUCUAACCUUGUUGUCGCUACUUGUGACUUGUCAGAAUUCUAACUUUUUUUUGUUGCAGCCAUAGCUCACACACCUCGGCUCGUUACCGGCAUUAGGAUAUGGGUUACCGACCUGUUGCCAUAUACGGAAAGGACCCGCACAUGGCGCGCUUUUCUCUUGGCCCCGCGGCCCCUUUAGGUAGAUUUUAAGCUUCGUUUAAUAGGUUUUGCGAAUUUCAUUGACUAGUUUAUCUUUAUGGUGAACGGACGAGCUGCUCCUAGGAGAAUGGCGGUAAUACGGACUUUUACCUAGUCCGGUGCUGCUUCGGAUACUCAGGAGAUACUCUUCGUGUCCAUCAGAGAAGGUGUUACUAUGGUCCCUUAGUAGGUAGUCACGCCGUUGGAAAUGGUUGUGAGAGAGUCGGCGUUGUUGUACCAGCUCCGCAGCCUAUAGAUGAACCUCCCGAUGGCGAAGAACCGAUAGAGAGGAAAAGGCGGAGGCUCGUGACGUGCAAGGUGGUGGCCACAGAAGACGGAAGGAGUAGCGUUCCUCAACAAAUGCCCAGACCCGUAUUCAUGGCCGAGGCCAUCCGUUAUGGGAGGUCGGCCCAACAUAGGAGUACCGUUGCUGGUACUAGUUCGGCAUGUGCCACUGAGGGUUGUUCGAUGACCAAUGUCGAUGGAGUUGGCGGGGAUGUUUAUGGAUCAGACUCCGAGAUAGCCCAUGAGGAUAUGGACGAUCUUGUGAAGGGUCUCACUUGGUGGAAAUGACGGCGGACGGGUUCGACCGCCAUGAGAUAUGAAUUUUUACAAAAGCCAUACUUGAUGUAUAUAGAGAGUUUCAUGCUGCGGGUCAGGCGACGGAGGAUGAGGUCCAAGCAUGGCGGAGCGAGGCUCGCACCACCUAUGAAGCUUGCGGGUAUAGCUCUGACUCCCAAUAUCGAGAAGGCUACACUUUGGAGGACAUCGACCGUCUAGACUCCAACUCCUGGUAUAAUGAGGUUUAUUUCCUAGGAGGCGACGUGUAGGGUGGCGAGGAGACUUGAACUUGUGCAUGUUUUGUUGCUUUCUUCUUUUUAUUUUUGGAAUACAAUGGGGCCCUUUUGUGGAGUUAAAUGUAAAUAUAUUUUUGUUGUGACAUAUAAACUUUAUUUUGGUCGUUGUUCUUUUCUGAUCAUUUUUUUUGUUUCUUUUCUUCCCUCCCUUUUUUGUUUAAAACCUUAUCGUGACUUGAGUGGGUUUAAAACGAUUUUGACGGCUUAAGACAAUAGAAUGUUACUUCGACUAUUGUCGAAGUGUUAUCUGUCACCGUCGAACUGGGUCGAACCUUAAUUUCGAUGGCCUUAUCCAAUAGGGUGUAACUUCGACUGUUGUCAAGUGUUAUCUAUCAUGGUCAAACUGGGUCGAACCUUGAUAUUGAUGGCCUUAGCCAAUAGGAUGUAACUUCGACUAUCGUUGAAGUGUUAUACAAUGUGGUCGAACUUAAGUCGAACCUUGAUUGCAAUGACCUUCACCAGUAAGAUGUAACUUCGACUGUCGUCGGAGUGUUACCCGUCAUGGUGGAAUUGGGUCGAACCUUAAUGUCGAUGGCCUUAGCCAAUAGGAUGUAACUUUGAUUGUCGCCGAAGUGUUAUCUAUCGUGGUCGAACUUGAGUCGAACCUUGAUGGAGAUGGCCUUAUCCAAUAGGAUGUAACUUCGAUUAUCAUCAAAGUGUUAUCCGUCGUGGUCAAACUAGGUCGAACCUUGAUAUUGAUGGCCUUAUCCAAUAAGACAUUACUUCGACUAUCAUCAAAGUAUUGUCCGUUGUGGUCGAACUGGGCCAAACCUUGAUGUCGAUGGCCUUAACCAGUAGGAUGUAACUUCGACUAUCGUCGAAGUGUUAUUCGCCGUGGUCAAACUAGAUCGAACCUUGAUAUCGAUGGCCUUAUCCAGUAGGAUUUAACUUCGACUAUCGUCGAAGUGCUAUCUAUCGUGGUCGAACUUGAGUCGAACCUUGAUGGCGAUGGUCUUAGCCAGUAAGAUGUAACUUCAACUAUCGUCGAAGUGUUAUCCGUCGUGGUCAAACUUGAGUCGAACCUUGAUGGCAAUGGCCUUAGCCAGUAGGAUGUAACUUCGACUGUCGUCGAAGUGUGAUUCGUCGUGGUCGAACUUGAGUCGAACCUUGAUGGCAAUGGCCUUAGAGUAGGAUGUAACAUCGACUGUCGUCGAAGUGUUAUCCGCCGUGGUCGAACUUGAGUCGAACCUUAAUGGCGAUGGCCUUAACUAUUUGCAUAAUAGAGACAUCGCCCUUGGCUAUUUGUAUAAUGGAGAAACUAGCCUUAGUUGUUUGCAUUAUAGAGACAAUGGCCUUGACUGUUUACAUAAUGGAGAAAAUUCUGUACAAUAGAGAAUUCUGUCAAAACGUAGAGUUUUUCCCAUACAAUUGAGAUUUGACUAGUGACUCCCUUUAUUAUAUCAGCCCGGAGACCGUAUCGACUGGCCGAUGUGAUAAACAUGAUCUCAGAUACCACCAGGUGUCCCCUCCACUGCCUCAUUAAAAACCUCCCCGAGAAAAACUCAAUUGGGACAAAACUCGGGUAAGGAAAAAAGAGUACGACUCGGGAGAUGCCUUUCAGAAGUGAAAGUAUUACAGAUGGGCGACAUUCCAGUUGUUUUGGAGUGUUUUUCCCUCCAUUGUUUCUAACUGGAAUGCUCCCUUGUUCACUGCUGCUGUGAUUUUAUAUGGUCCGUCCCAGUUGGAGCCCAAUUUUCCUUCACUCAGGUCUUUUGGCGCCAAUGAUUUGGAUUCGAGGACGCAAUCACCCACUUUGAGCGGUCUUAUUUUGGCAUUCUUGUCGUAAUACCUUUCAUCCUGCUGUUUUUAGGCCUUCAUUCUUAUGUGGGCCAUGUCCCUUCGUUCUUUGACUUCCUCUAGGUCUUAAAGUCUGUUUUCGUCGUUCUCUACCCCGUUGGCAUGUGAAUAUCUCAGGCUUGGCUACCCGAUUUCAACUGGUAUGACUGCAUUGGUUCUGUAGACCAAUAAAUAUGGCAUUUCUCCUCUGCUGGAUUUGGAUGUGGUCUGAUGUGCCCACAACACUUCCGGUAAUAAUUUGGGCCAUAUCCCUUUAGCUUCCUCGAGCUUUUUUUUCAAUAUGCUCAAUAUUAUUUAAUUGGAAGAUUCGGCUUGCCCGUUAGCGACCGGAUGAUAUGGAGUGGAAUGUAUCCACUUAAUGUGCCAUUUCUCAUAGAACUCAGUUGUCUUUUUACCGAUCAACUGGGGGCCAUUGCCGCACCUGAUUUCUUUGAGGAUGCCGAAACGACAUAUGAUGUUUUUCCAUACAAAGGCGAUGAAUUCCUAUUUGCGUAUCUGUACAUACGCACCUGCUUCCACCCACUUGGAAAAGUAGUCAGUUAAAACUAAAAGAAAUCGUACCUUUCCUCGUCCCGCUAGUAGGGGGCCGAUUAUAUCCAUUCCCCACUUGAUGAAGGGCCAAGGCGAGGUGACUGAGUGGAGAAGCUCUCCUGGUCGGUGUAUCAUGGGGGUGAACUAUUGGCACUGCUCGCACCUGCGGAUAUAUUCUACUGCCUCAUUUUUCAUAGUGGGCCAAAAAUAAUCAACUCGGAUGAUGCAGCGGAUGAGGGUGCAAUUACCUAUAUGAGCACUGCAGUGGCCUUCAUGCACCUCUUCUAACACUUGUCUCAUUUAGUGCGGCCCAAGGCACUUAGCGCGGGUUCCGCCAAACAUCCUUUUAUAAAGAUCAUGAUUUAUCAGGUUGUAUCGGGCGGAUUGCACGCGGAGUUUUUUGGCUUCUUUCUUGUUGCGUGGGAGCGUCCCGUCUUGCAGAUAGGAUACGAAGUGGUUGUUCCAAUCCCAAGUAAGGUUUAAAGAGAGUACCUUAAUGUGAUCGAUGGCCGAAUGGAGGAGGACGGCCACACUUUCUUUGCUGCUAUUUUUGGUGGUCGUGGCUAAUUUUUCUAAGCCAUCUACUUCGACAUUUUGUGCCCUGGGGAUUUGUUCAAAACGGCGUUCGUUGAAUUCAGGCAUCAGCUUGUGGAUUUUUUAUUGGUAUUUUUGUAGCCUCUAUUCUUUGAUUUGAUAAGUCUCGGUGACUUGGUUUACUACGAGUUAGGAGUCGUAAUGAAGGAUAAGUCCUCGGGCCCCAUAUUUGAUGGUUAAUUUCAUACCUGCAAUCACAGCCUCAUAAUCAGCCUCAUUUUUAGUCAUCUCGGGGUAUCGUAUGGACUGAAGAAUUAUUUCACCACUGGGACUCCAAGGACGAGUCCCAGUCCCGAUCCUGCGGAAUUAGUGGCAUCGUCAUUGUAGAGAAUCCAGAGGUCGAUGUUAGGGGAGGCACGGAGGGCCUCCAUUUCCGCCUCUAGCAGUACCUCUGCACUGAAGUCGAUGACAAAGUCUGCAAGUACCUGUGAUUUAAUGGUGGUUCUUGGAUGAUAGGAUAUGUUGUGCUCGCUGAGCUCUAUGGCCACCUAGCGAGCCUACCCGAGAGUUCGAGCUAUGCUUCUCAGGGGCAAGGUCAUUAUUACUUUUAUGGGGUGGCACUGAAAAUAGGGUCUAAGCUUUCGUGAAGCUAUGACCUGUGUUAGAGCUAACUUCUCGAGAUGUGGAUACCGUGUUUUAGCAUCAACUAAAGUUUUGCUGAUAUAGUAUAUACGAGAUUGCGUACCUUUGUUUUCGCGGACCAAGACUGCGCUGACAUCAACUUCGGAUACGGCCAGAUAUACUGGCAAACUCUCGCCCGGGUUUGCUUUGACCAGUAAUGGCAGCGAAGAUAGGUAGGCUUUUCAUUUUUGUUGGGCCUCGAUGCAUUCCUUGAUCCACUGUAACCCAUGAUCUUUUCUCAGUGUGAUGAAGAACUUAUGACAUCUGUUAGAGGACCGUGGGAUGAACAUUGAUAGGGCGGCUAUUCGCCCCGUUAAUUUCUGUACCUGCUUCUUUGCUGUUUAAAGUCUGAGGUAUUGCAUCUAUAGCCUUGACAUGAUAUGGGUUGACUUCGAUAUCUCGUUCUGAUACGAGGAAACAUUGGAAUUUUCCCGAGGCCACACUAAAGGCGCAUUUUUCUAAGUUUAGCUUCAUCUCGUAUUGUCUCAGGAUACCAAAGACUUCUUUUAAAUGAUCGACAUGAUCCUCCUUCUUUGCCGACUUUACUAGCAUGUUAUCGAUGUAAACCUUCAUGGUCUUGCCGAGCUGUUCCUAGAACAUUUUGGUGACCAAUCUCUGAUACGUUGCUCCUUUGCAUUUUUGAGUUCGAAGAGCAUCACCUUAUAAUAGUACGUCCCUUGGUGGGUGAUGAAAGUUGUAUUUUCUUGAUCUUCUCCGGCCAUCAUGAUUUGGUUGUAGCCUGAGUAGGAGACUAAGAAACUUAUAGUUCAUGCCCUACGGUUGUGUCUAUCAGCUGGUCGAUGUGAGGUAAUGGGAAUGAGUCCUUUGAGCAUGCCUUGUUCAGGUUGGUGAAAUCCACGCAAAUUCUCCAUUUCCCAUUUUUCUUUUUGACCAUGACGACAUUAGCGACCCAUUGCGGGUACUUCGAUUCUCUGAUGGAACCGUUGGCUAGUAACUUGUCCACUUCUUCACUGACUGCCUCGUUGAUUGCAACGUUGAAUUUCCUUCUCGUCUGCCACACGGGCGAUUAAAGUGGGUCAACUUUCAGCUUAUGAAUGGCGAUGUCUUUCGAGAUUCCCGACAUAUUUGAUUAGGAGAAGGCAAAUAAAUCUACGUGAUUAGUUAAGAAUUUGUGGUACUUUCUUGGGUCAGAAAGACUGUGCCCGAUGUAGGCUUUCUUUGAAGGGUUAGCAUCAUCCAGUUGAACCGGGUCGAGUUCUUCAACCGUCGCUUUGCAAUCCUCUACGAUGUCUGGGUCUUUGAUAGCCCCUACUAUCGGGUUGACUUUAGUCCCUGACUUGAUGGAAUCAUUGGCUAUUAAUAUGUCUAUUUCUUCAUUGACCGCCUCGUUGAUUACGGUGUUGAAUUUCCUUCUCGACUACCGCACAGGAGGGUAUAGUGGAUUGACUUUCAGCUUAUGAGUGGCGAUGUCUUUCGAAAUUCUUGGCAUACCUGAAUGGCAGAAGCAAAUAAAUCGGUGUGGUUAGUUAAGUAUUUAUGGUACUUACUUGGAUCACCUAGACUGUGCCCGAUGUAGUCUAUCUUUGAGCGGCUGGCAUCGUCCAGCUGGACUGGGUCAAGGUCUUUGACUGUCACUUCGCAGGCUUCUAUGAUGUCUGGGUAUUUGAUAGAUUCUACAGUCGGGUUGGCUUUAGUCCCCGGCAUGGAUGAUUGCUAUGCUUUUGCACUUUCUCCUUUUAGUCGUUUGGUAUGUGUACAGUCUUGGGAUAUCCGAUAGCAUUUCUGAGCAGUGCGUGGCUCGCCUCGAAUGCUGAAUAUUCCCCAUGGGGUAGGGAAUUUGAUCACCUGGUAGAAGCUCGAGGAGAUUGCACGCAUGGUGUGUAUCCAAGGGCGUCCUAUGAUGGCGUUCUAAACCAUUUCCUGGUUCAUGACGUGGAACGUUGUUUCCAGCGUAACUCUCUCUGAUAAUACUGGCAAUGAUCUUUCCGGAGGUCCGUUCCCUGUAUUGUUAAAACCCGUUAGUGUUAUGCAACAAGGUAUUAUCUUAUCUUCGAGUCUCAUUUGCAUGAGGACUCUUGGAUGGAUAAUACAAGUGUUGCUUCCGUCGUCUACCAUGAUUCUCUUGAGAUCAGUAUCGGCGAUAUGUAAAGUUAUAAAUAAAGCAUCAUAAUAAGGAAAAUACAAACCGUUGGUAUCAGACUCAUCGAAGGUGAUACUACCUUCGAAGUCGUCAUAUCAUUCAUGGGCGAUUCUGCACUUCAAUUUAUGUGUGUGGUUAACUUUACGUGGUUGAUUGUUGAGUCGUAUCUGCCCUCGAUGAUCAUAUUUAUGAUGCAUGGUGGAGAAGGUGGAGAAGGUGGUCCUUGGGAUUGAUCUCGUCCUCUGGUGAAAUUGGUCUUUCCCUUAUCGCUAAGCAGCUCUUUCAGCUAUCCUUGGUUUAGCUUCCUGACUACUUCUUGUCAUAGACCUAUGCAAUCUUCGGUCUUGUGUCCCCUUUCCUGAUGGAAUUCACACAGGACGUUCGACCUCCUUGUGCUAGGAUCCGACUUCAUUUUCUGCGGUCAUUGCACCUUUAUGCCUAGCUUCUCCAAUGCGUACACUAUUCUGAAGGGGAUAGGAAAAAGUUAUGGGCAAAUAAUAAAGGAGGCAUACCUCUAUCAUUCCGAAGUGGGGUGACAUGUCGCGGUACUGCAUCUGGGUGCCUUGGAGGGGGUGGAUGGGAGGUCCUGACGUAGGGCUGAUGCCUUUCUUUGUUGAAGCGUGGGGGUUGUUCCCAUCGUCCGUCGUUGCAUCAAUCCCUUCUUGCUUCUUAUUGUAUCGUUAUUAUUCGCUGGGUUGGCCCGUUGAAAUCGUCUUUGUCCCUUCUAACUUCAGCACAGUAGGCGUUGUGGAUCUCUUCCCAUGUGGUGGGGGGAUAUUUCAUGAGUCCGCUUAGCACCUCCUUGGUCGCUCUUGACCAUCUCUGUUCAGCCCAUUUUGGAAAGCGGAGGCUGCCAUGCCUUCCAAUAUGUUUGGCAAACUCAUUCUUACCCUGUUGAAUCUAGCCAAGAAAUCCCGGAGUCCCUCAAAUAUUGUUUGCCUGACGACAAAGAUAUCGUUGACCCUAGCUUCGGCCUUCUUCGCUCCUGUAUGAACGGUGGCAAGUUUGUCUUCCAUUUCUUUGAACGUCGAUAUUGUCCUAACUGGCAGUUGAGAGCACCACGUUAAGGCCCUUCUGUCAACGUUUCUCAAAAUUUCUUCAGUAGCACGGAUGGUACUUGUUCUUUUGAUAAAUCGUUGCCUUUCACAGCGGUCACAUAAUGAAUUAGAUGAUCCUCGGGAUCCAUAGUCCCAUCAUAUAUUCUUAAUUAUGGUGUCAUCUUGAAGGUUUUUGGGAUUGGGUGAGGGGCAGCCUCCUCACUGUACAGUUGUUCGACGAACCGUCCUACGUCGCCUUUGGCAGUAGCUUAGGGGCUCCAGGAAUUUUGUCUACUCUUUCCUGGUGCUCUAUCAUUUUAUCACGGAGCGCUUUGUUUUCACUCUCCAUCUCUUCCAUUUUCUUAAGGAUGGUUGGAAGUGCACCAUCGUUGGCAUUGGCAUCGACGUGUAUGUUGCUUGCUCGUACAAUACCGAGUUCACCGGUGGCAGUAGUGACAUCUACUGCCGGCGAGUCCCUGGUAUUCCCUUGGGGUGAUUUUUUGAGCAAACGACUUAGAGUGUUUGUCAACCAUUCUUCCAGUAUCUUUUUAACCACCGAGGGUGUUUCUUUGGCGACAUAUGUAGAUGCCCCUUUUACAUGUAAAAUCGUUGAAUCAUUGAGUGAAAAGGGUGAGAUCUCCCCGUUCAGUGCAUUACUAGGCAUUGUGCUCGUGAUAUUUUCUCUACCGGACUCGUAGAAAGGGCCUAUGAGAUUAGUUGUGACACCAGCUAUUGUCUUCAUCCUUGCUUCUCUUUCUACCAUCGUUCGGCUUCUAUGGAGUAUGGAGAAUGGUGAUCGUUAUUUUUUUUAUAUCCUAGGUAUGAACUAUGAUUUCGAUUGCCGAAAUCCCCACAGACUGCGCCAAAUAGUUUGACCCCAAAGUUAUCGAACCCUUUCCGAGUAAAUCAAUCAAAAUAAAUCAAGGGUAAAUCGUAAUAGAAGAUAAUAAGACCUUAGGAUAUAUGAUAUGUUCGUUUAUUUUUAGUCUUAGUAUUCGAAAGAAAUUCGAAGAGAGAGAUUCAGAGUGAGAAGGAUAGAGAAGUUAAUAAUAAUCAUCUGCCCCUUUACAAUGCUAGAAUCCCCUUUAUUUAUUAAGGGACACUCUUCCCCAUAUUAAAAUAAAUAGAAACUAAAUAUAUAUCCUUGAAGGGAUGACGGAACCUAUGGUGUCGUUUCUCUUAAUGCUACUAAGUCGUACCUCUGCCCUGGCUAAUGGACGCUUGACGGUUAUCCGUACCGACGCAAAGACGUGGUUGGUCAAAUUCGAACCCAUAUGGUAGUAGCUUACAAAUAAUAUAGUCAUCUAAAGAAAUUUUUGGAUUAACUUUUUUGAUUUUAAUCUUUUCACCAAUCAUGUGUAAAAUUGGAUUGCUCCACUGGAGGACCUCAAGUUUUAACCUUUAUAUAAGUAAACUUUUACUAAUACUUUAAUAAUUAAAUUUCGCUCCUGUAAAAUAAUAAUCAAGACAAAAAAUAUAGCAACAAAUAUUAUAUUCAAUUUUAAGUGAUGGAGUUACAAUCUCUAAAAUAUCUCUAAAUUUAAAGAGAUGUAGUCUUUUGAUUCUUCUCCUCACAGAUGAUGGUUCAAGAACUUGAUAGCUUGAUAUUGAACUUGACGGAUUUCAGAUUUUUAGUACGUCACGAACUAUUUAAAGGUCGUUACGAACCAGGAUUUGCUGUUGGGUUAUUACGAACAGAAGAUUUGAAGUCACCCGCCUAUGAUUUGAGUUUGCCUUUAGAGUUUGACCACAUACGGCGAUUGCAGAUAUGGAUGAAGGCCUUGAUGCUACUUUUUAGAGCUUCUUUAGCCUUUCCUUCUGCUUACCUGUUUAUCCCUUAGCCUUCUCCUUUGACCUCUUUAUAUAGGUGUGGGGUGGAGUAAUCUCCAAGAAAAUCCUAGUGGAUCAUUGGGUUUGAGGCUUAUGGGCCGAUCCAUUUGAUAGAAGACCAAUUGACGGGCUAGCCCAAUAGUAUAUUGAAUCUUUUAUUUAUAUCAAUUUAAUUGGAUUUAAAUAACAACCUCAAUUAUACCUGCCCAUGUUACUUAAUUAAACCAAUAUAUAUUUAAUUUAUGUUAUAAUCUAAAUUUUUUAUGAAUUUAAAUUUGAUAAAAUUUUAAUUGUCUACAAACACUCAAAAAGGCAAGCUGAUUGCAUAAUUUAGCAUGUUCCUCCUUAUCUGCUGCAAAUAAAUGGAAGAUUUUAUUUUAUUUUUCUUCUAAUUUUGACUUGUCUUAUCUUUAAAUAAUAAGAAAAUUUAGAUAUUUGAAACCAAAGAAAAAAUAAGAAAAGGGAGAGACAUUAUGUUGUACUUUAAUUUCUAUUUUAAUUGAAUGUGAAUAAACUUAUGAGAUAAUGUGUUUCACGAAAGAAAACGAAACUAUGAAAAAAAGAAAAGAAAUUUGGAUAGAUUUGUGUAUAAAAGAAAGUUAUAUAUAAUAGGAAACUAAUAAUUAAAUAUUCUCCAAAUAUCAAAUAAUUUUUUCAGCAUUAACAAAAAAAAUGACUUUUCAUAAAUAAGUCUUUUGUUAUUUUUCUUUUUGCCUGAGAAAUGAUUAUACAAAGCACCACAAGUUUAAAAGAUUUUACCCUCUCUUGCUUUUCUUGGAUUCAUCUCAUCGACCAAACUAAUCUUAUGACAUGCAAAGUAAUUUCUCAUGCAGCUUUCAAGGAUGCACGUUGGACUGGUAUUUAGAUGCACCACCCUCAUAUCUUGCAUAUUUAAUACAGAAGUGUAGUAUAAGUACAUAAACAAUAUGUAUUCAGUUUAAUAUCGAAAAAAAAGUAAUGACAAAGGAUCGACUCCGACACUUAUUAUGGGCUAACAAUAAAAUGAUGAAAACUCUAAAUAAAUAUGGGCUAUGUAAAUCAAACCGUAAACUCAAUAACAAAAAACAAAUAAACCAUUCUUUAAUGAUAAUAGUUUCCAAGUAAAUUUCCGUUAUUUAACAAUUUAACCUCUCGAUCCAAUGAAACAAUAUCAAUUAAAAAAAUUGGGCUCCAAGUAUUAUUACGUAUGAAUUAUUCUGAGGUCGUACGACCUGAUCCAAAAUACAAAUAUAUAAAUUAUGCACUAUCAAGGCGUUCGGCUCCCUCCAAGGCAUUCGGUGUCACAACCACACCGACGGGCCGCGACAGGUGCCCGAGUCUUACCUGUCGAACAUCCUUAAGCAAGCGUCUAAGAUAUAAAAAUGAAUAACAAACGUAAGGGAUACUUGUCCAAAGACAUAUAUACAUAUACAUGCAGAAUACAGUGGGGUAAGUCGGCAAGGUUGCUAUAGACAACAACAUACUCAAAACUGGAAGCCGACAAGGCCACAUACAACCACUAUUAGAAUAUACAACCGUAUAAGGAUGGUACUGGGCCAUGUCAUACAUAUAUAUGUAUACAAACAUAUAUGCCUGCAUCUGUAGGCAUGAAACACAGGCCCCGAAAAAUAGGGCAUUAGUAGGAAUAAUGUAUCGAGUAUGUAAGGCAUGAAAAUCAGUACAUAAAAGACAUAGAUGAACAUGGAAUAAAGAAUUCCGCAUGUAAGUCUAAAUAGCUUAGUAAAUCAUGAAAUAUUUAUAAUGUCAUGCACGUGCAUAUAAAUGUCGUAUCAUGCCUAGAGUAUAGGGAUUCAUAACAUCAUCAAGCAUCUGAGGGCAUCCUAUCAUAUCACCUCGGCCACUUUGAGAAAAAUCUUCAAUAUAUACCAACUUAUCUGGUAGUGUGCAUAUAUAAUGUCGUAACUUGUUUGCAUGCAUACAUACAUACAUACAUAUAUACAUAUAUACAUACAUACAUAUAUACAUAUAUACAUACAUACAUAUAUACAUAUAUAUACAUACAUACUUACAUACAUAUAUACAUACAUACAUAUAUAUAUAUANNNNNNNNNNNNNNNNNNNNNNNNNNNNNNNNNNNNNNNNNNNNNNNNNNNNNNNNNNNNNNNNNNNNNNNNNNNNNNNNNNNNNNNNNNNNNNNNNNNNNNNNNNNNNNNNNNNNNNNNNNNNNNNNNNNNNNNNNNNNNNNNNNNNNNNNNNNNNNNNNNNNNNNNNNNNNNNNNNNNNNNNNNNNNNNNNNNNNNNNNNNNNNNNNNNNNNNNNNNNNNNNNNNNNNNNNNNNNNNNNNNNNNNNNNNNNNNNNNNNNNNNNNNNNNNNNNNNNNNNNNNNNNNNNNNNNNNNNNNNNNNNNNNNNNNNNNNNNNNNNNNNNNNNNNNNNNNNNNNNNNNNNNNNNNNNNNNNNNNNNNNNNNNNNNNNNNNNNNNNNNNNNNNNNNNNNNNNNNNNNNNNNNNNNNNNNNNNNNNNNNNNNNNNNNNNNNNNNNNNNNNNNNNNNNNNNNNNNNNNNNNNNNNNNNNNNNNNNNNNNNNNNNNNNNNNNNNNNNNNNNNNNNNNNNNNNNNNNNNNNNNNNNNNNNNNNNNNNNNNNNNNNNNNNNNNNNNNNNNNUUUAUUAUAUAUAUGCGUAUAUAAUAUGAUAUGGUCAUGGGUCAAUGUAAAUAAAUGCAAUGCAUGAGAAGUACAUCAAUAAAAUCUUUGAUAUUAUGGUCGGAAUCCGAUUCUGGAAAUUGGAUUAGGUUCGUAGUUUUAAACAUGAGUUGUGUGAAAAAUUUGGGGCCAUUCGGACAUGAUUUGGUUGGUUUCGGCAUCAGUUGUAGAAUUUUGAAGUUUCAAGUUUUUAAAGUUUGGAUUGGAGGGUAAUUCAUAAUUUUAGCGUUUUCUAUGUAAUUUGAGGGCUCAACUAAGUUCGUAUGGUAUUUUAGGAUUGGUUAGUAUGUUUGUUUGACGUCCCGAAGGCUUCGGAUGUGUUUCGCGUGCUCAACGGGCCAUUUGGGACUUAGAAGGAUAGCAGAUUUUGUUGGUUUCUCUGUUGCAGACAUUUGUUUUUCGCGUUCGCGAAGUGGAGCUCGCAUUUGCGAAGAAGAGCUUGGUCGGGAAAAGAAAUUGUUCUUCACGUUCAUGAAAAGGAGCUCGCGUUCGAAGGUUGGCCAGUGGAAGCAUCGCAAACGUGAAGAGCUAAACAUUUUCGUGAAGAGGAAAGGUGGAACAAAUGGGACCUUAGGAAUUUCCUCUUUGCGUUCGCGAAUAAGGUUCACAUUCGCAAAGGUCCUGGUAGCUGAAGCUACGCGUUCGCGAAAGGAACUCGCAUUCGCGAAAGAGGAAAAUUGAGCUGUGGACUUUUGCUCUACGCGAACACGAGGUGGUGGUCGCGUUCGCGAAGAAGGGCAUGCCUAGUUAUAUUUGAAGUUCAAAAAAUGAAGGUCUUAGUUCAUAACACAAAAUUUGGUUUGGAGCUCGGUAGAAGGAGAAAUUUGGAGAGAUUUUUAGAGGAAGUUUGCGGUUAAUGAUUCCUAACUCUUUAAUGAUUAUAUUCCACUAAUAUAUGAUUGACUUCAUCAUUUAAUUUUUGAAUUUGAGAAAAGUUCUUAGGCCAAAUUUUUGGGGUUUAAUUCAGAUUUUGGUAUCGGAUUUGAGUAAAUUUGGUAUGGUUAUACUCGUGAGUGAAUGGGUGUUCAUAAUUUUUGUGACUUUUACCCGAUUCUGCGAUGUGGGCCUGGGAAGGCUUUUUGGUAUUUUUUUUCUAUUUUCUUUCCUUAGUUUUGAUUUCAUUAGCUAAAUUAGUUGAUUGUAGCUAUGUUUACGUAAUGUAAUUGAUUUGGCUAGAUUUGGGCCAUCCGGAGCCGGAUAUUCAUGGAAAGAGCAUUGCUUCGAAUUGAAUUGAGCUUGGUUCGAGGUAAGUGGCUCGCCUAACCUUGUGUAGUGGAACUCCCCUUAUGAUUUAGUAUUGUUUGAUGUAUGAGCAUCGUGUACUUGAGGUGACGAGUACAUAGACAGACUAUUUGUUUUAAAACUCCAUUUUUCAUUAAGUCAUGACAUGUUUUCUCCUUGUUUGAACUACACUAGCAUAUGUAUUAUCUUGUUUAGAUUAGAAAAGCAUGCCUACCUAUUUUAUAUUGUCUAUUGAAACUUUGUGCAGCAUGUUUAGUGAAACUUCCUUGCUUUUCCUUUGAUUUAGUCUAAAACCCUAGGUUUUCGUGCUAUAACUGUUGUUUAUAUUAGUUGAGCUGCAUAUUUACUUUGGGACUAUGGAACGAUAUUCUGGGAGAUUCCCAUGUGCUGCAUAUUUACUUUGGGACUACGGAAUGGUAUUCCGGGAGAUUCCCCUAUACUGUAUAUUUAUUGUGGGACUAUGGAAUGGUAUUUCAGGAGAUCCCCCAACACUGCAUAUUUACUUUGGGACUAUAAAGCAGUAUUUUGGUAGACCUCUCAACACUGCAUAUUUACUUUGGGACAAUGGAACAGUAUUUCGGGAGAUCCCCCUACACAUACGGGACGGUAUCCUAGGAGAUUCUCUGUUGUCACCCUUGAGUUUCUAAGUUGGUGUUCUUCUACGUUUGUUUUUUAGUUAAAUUUCAGUAUUUAUUUUUACUGUGAUAUAUAUUUCUGUUAAAUUUUAUUAUAUUUAUACCAGCAGGACCCUGACCUAAUCUUUUCACUACUCGACCAAGGUUAGGCUUGGCACUUACUGGGUACCGUUAUGGUGUACUCAUGCCCUUUCCUACAAAUAUCUUUACGUGUGCAGAUCCGGGCACUAGCUAUCGCUUCGAGUCUACUUGCGUGGUUGCUGCCUCAGGAGAUUUCAAGGUACAUUCAUCGCGUCCGCAGAUCUCGAUGUCCCUUCUAUCCCCUGGUGUUGAUUUUCCCCUUGUUUUCUUCAAACAUAAAUGUAUAGAGCAGUUAGAAACUCUUAGAAGCUUGUAACAUUGUGACAUUCUGAGUUUUGGGGAAAGUGAUUAUUGUAUAUGCCGAGCGGCAUCGUUUCUGCUUAUUAACUAUAAUUAUUAGUUGUUACCUUUUGUGUUUCUAUUCUAUUUCUACAAUACUAGGCUUACCUAGUUGUAAAGACUAGGUACCGUCACAACAGUUCACGGAGGGAGAACUAGGGUCUUGACAAUCAAGUAAGACUUUAAUUGGUUGUAAUGUAGGCUGCAGGACGGGUAGGGUACACUUAGAUUUAAGAGUGACUAUACAUCCAUAAGCACUUUAAUACAUAAUUACACGUUCAAAAUCACACACUUAUGUCAAAACAUAGCUCCACAUUCACAUCAAUAUAUAUAUCAACUCCUACUUCUUUAAGAACAAAUACAUAGAGAGUUACCACUAUCAAGGAAUAUUUUUCCAGAACAAUACAACUAUUUUUAUUUUAUUGUCUUAUUCAAUUGAAGUGGCUCUUACUUUUUCCAAAAUAAUACAUGUUUCUCCUAUUUUAAUAGUUUCACUCAAAAGCCAAAUGAACACCCCACACCUUAACUUUUACAAAGUUCAUAACAAAUUCAAGUGCUCACAAAAGGUAAAAGGUUCAAGUAGAUGGUCAAUUCGAACAAAUAGGUAAGGCUUGCAAUGUGGUUGUCAAAGAAAUAGUAUUAGAGGCUCAAAGGGUUUAACUAAGAUACAUCAUAAUUAGGUGGACAAAACAUAUAUCUGGCUCAACAAGAAAUGUCUAUAUCACUUUCAAGACUGAAUAAAACUAUUAUUCUGCUUUGUAAACACACGGGGAAAAUUCUAGACAUCAACUGUAAUGCAUAGAAUAACACGAAACCUCACCCUCACAUGGUACAUAACUCACUCACGAUUGGAAUCAUCAAGACACUCUAGUCAAAACAGUUAAGCAAAGUUAAGAUCAUACAGUUUAAUAUACUUAUACAAGAGUCAAAAAUUGAGCCUAAGCGUCACAGCCAGCGCACUCACCAUUCUCAAGGUACAACAAGGUCAAGAGAUAUUUUUUUUCAUUUGAACUAUUACACAAGGUUUCCUACUCCUAAUAAAAAUAAAAACUAACUACAUCUGGUUCAAACAAAAUCUUUGGAAAAGAACUGCGGCACAAGGAAAAGCCUAGGGGGAAGUAUUACACUGCCUAACAAAAAAAAAAUUCUUUCAACUUUAAUCCCUCAAGAUACCUAUCAAUGUCCAUUGUCAGGAAAAAUCAAAAAAUUAAUUUUUUUCUAUCUCUAACUACUAAAACUUCGAAAAAGAAACACAUACAUACAACAUACAAAUAUGCCCCACCCACACUUUAAGUUGUGGCAUGUUCCCAUGACACACAAUUAAAAAGCAUAAAGUAAAGGAAACUUCCUUGAACAUCUAAUCGGGGUCUGAGCCAAAGUCGGGCUCCAUUCCUCUCACUCGAACUAAUACACAUAUCCAUGCAGACAACUUCUUCUUAGCCUUCUUGGGGUACACCUCACACUUAUCUUUCUCGUUCACCAACGCCUACUCUUUCGGCCCAUUUACUUUUUACUCAACACUGGCAACUAGUUUGUUCUUUUGCACCCUCUUUGAUAUAUCCAUUUGAAAAGUCACAUUCUCCUCACCCAUUCUAAGCAUGAGUAUUAUUUCUUGUAUAUAUAAUAUAUCUCUACCUGUCGCUAAUAAUGGUCUUCCUAUGAUGAGAGGGACCUAUUCGGUUUCCUCCAUUUUUACCACUAUAAAAUCCAGAGGAAAUACAAACUUAUCCACCCGAACUAAAACAUCUUCAACUAUUCCCUCGGGUAUUAGGGUCGUUUUGUCUGCCAGCUGCAAAGAUAUUGUCGCAGACCUUAUCUCUCCAAUUUCCUAUAAAUAGACAGAGGCAUUAAAUUAAUUGAGGCACCAUAAUCACAUAAAGGCUUAUAAAAUUAAUAGUUCCUAAAGAUCAAGGUAUAUUAAAACUCCCUGGUUAUCUACGCUUUUGUGGGAGUUCUUUUUUUGCAAGAUUACAUUGUAAUGCUCUGUGAGCUUGACCACUGAGGUCUCCUCUAGUUUCCUUUUCUUCAUAAGGAUCUCCUUUAUUUAUUUAGCAUAAUUCGUCAUUUGUGAGAGCACUUCUGUGAAUGAUAAGUUUACAUGAACCUGUUUCAGCACACUCAAAAAUCUUCGAAACUGCUUAUCCAUCUUUUCUCUAUAUAGCUUUUGAAAGAAAGGUAAAGCAUGCAUAUGCUCUCUUCCCUCAAGUUCCUCCCUUCUCGAAUUUUCUUCCUUCUUUUUUUUCACCUUUCUUCUGGACUUUCUUCUUCUUAUCAACAUCAUUCAUCAGCUGAUCCCUACUUCUUUUUUCAAGUAUCACAUCUUUCUGGAGAGGGUGGGAUCUUUCAACACUUGCCCACUUCUCAAGGUUACAAUAGUGACUAUUUUAGAGAUUUUUUCAGUAUCAACGAGGAGUGUUCCUAGAAUUCUCUCAAAUAAUAUUGUUGCAAUCUAUCCCACUUGCAUCUCUAAAAUUUGAAUUGUUGCCCCUUGUACUUCAAAUCUUUUGUUAGUUUUCACAAUAAAGGCCUUCAUGAGAACUUCUAGACCAGGCUGAUUGGAUUGUUGAGCCUAAAAUUGUAUCCUCUGCUGAUUCAUGAAACCCGAAGCUCCUUGUCCCUGAAAUCUGGGGUUAUUUUGUCUUUAUGCAUUUAAAUUACCCCCAGGUGAACUCCAUGAAAAAUCAGGGUGCUUCUGACCUAUUGCGUUAAAGUGAUAAUUUACCACAUCAUUCACUUCCUCAGUUGACGCUUAACACUUAUUAGCAGAGUGUCCUCUUUCAUAUAUAUCACAAGUUGCAUGAGGUUCACUUUGUAUUGCAACUAAGGCCAGCUUUCGUAUUUUUUUUAGCCAUAGCAUCAAGUUGUACCUGCACAAAUAUAUUAUCAUCAACUUGGUGAACACAAGUUGAUCUUAUUCUUUCAGCACUCUCAAAGGGCCACUGAUUAGCAUCUUCGGAUAAAUCAUCAAGAAUUGUAACUAUCUUCUCUGGAGUCUUCUUCAUCAAAGGUCCUCCAGCUGCAAUGCUCAAUGUUCUACGUGAGUCCGGAGUCAAUCCAUCUCAAAAGUCCUGGAGUUGCAUCCAAAGUUCAAUUCUGCUAUGUUGAGAUUUUCGAACUAUCUCUCUUAACCUCUCUCGUGCUUCAAAAAUAGUUUCAGUCACUUUCUGGAAUAAGUUAUGGAUUUUUCUUCUAAGCUAGCCCAUUUUAGCUGAGGAGAAAUAUUUAUCAAGAAAUUUUUGGACAUCUCACUGCAUGUUCUAAUUGAUCCAUCGGUCAAGCUUCAAAGCCACUACUUAGCAUCAUCUUUGAGUGAAAAGGGUAAUUCCCUUAAGUAGACUGCAUCUUAUGACUACCCAUUAUAUUAAAAGGUGUUCAUAAUCUACUCUAAGUACAUUAGAUGUGUGUUUGGAUCUUCGUUCGUCUUUCCUCUGAAAAAAUAAAGCAAUUUUGAAUGGUUUGAACAAGCCUUGCUUCAACUCAAAAUUGUUACCUGAAAGUGGAGGUAGUCUAAUACUUGAUAAUCCUUAAAUGUAGACCGGUCUAUCAUAAUCACCAAGUGAUCUCCCAGGACCAGUAGCUAUAUUUACGAACUGGUCUGAACCAAGGGUUAAUUUUGAGCAAUUAUUCGAGCCUUCUCUUCUUUAUAGAUAAUCUGGGCAUCUCUACUAGAUGCUUCCUCAGCAUCUCGUGCAUCUUUUUCUCGUUUUUGGGCUUCCUCUCUUGCGGCAAAAUGCAUAUUAUCAUCAACAUUUCUUGUUGUAGAUUUUUUAGUUAAGGAUUGCCCAACCUUUUCUAGCGUCUCGGUGAGAUUUAUUUCCUUCCUUAAUUAUCGUAGUUGUUUUUCUAUCUCUGGCUCGUAUGGUAGAACUUCUUUCGCAGAGGCUCGAGUCGUGCACCAAUCUAAACCUGUAACCUGCACACAAUCAUCAAACACCAAAUGUAAAAAGAGAAAAAUAAAAUAAAAAGAAAAAAAUUCCUGAAUUAGCAUUACAAAUUGAUUGUCAAUCCCUCCGGAAACGGCGCCAAACUUUGACGAGCACAAAACACACACCCAAAUUAUGCUCUAUAAUCAAAUAUAGUACUACUUCCAUUCUAAUUUAUGUGAACUAGUUUUGACUGGGCAAUUUAAGAAAAAAUAAAGAUUUCUGAAAUUUGUGGUCCUAAACAAGUCAAAAAGGGGUCUAGAGCAUUUAUGUGACUAUAAAACCUUUUCAUUAAGGGCCAAACUGAAAUAUUAAGCUAAAUAAUUUUCAAAUUUAGAAAGGAGUCAUUCUUUUUGGAACGGACCAAAUAGGAAAUAGGUUCACAUAAACUGAAAUAGAUGGAGUAUAGUAUAAUAUCAUAUCCAUGGGGAUUGGACUUAAUAAUAUUCUCGUAGUUUCUAAAUUAUUGCUAUCCAAGAGGAUCAACAAUUGAGGUUUAUAUGAUUUCUAACUAAAAUUAACUAAGAAUCUAAAGCUAUUGACUAAUGAUAAUCGAAACAAGGAAUAAGCAAAGAAAAUUACCAAUGAGAGAAGGGUUUGAUAGGAUAGGUGCAAGAUAAUAGUUUGGUGUUUAACUCUAGAUAAUCUGCUUAUAAUAUUUAAGUGAGUCUAUCAAAUUUACUCAAUUAUUAGCUCAUAUGGUCAUUAGAAACUUCUCCCUCAAUUAAGUCUCAACCUCAUGAAAUGAACCAAUUUAAGCACUGUGAAGAUAUGCAGAAAUUCAUAGUGGAUUGGUCUUUAGGAUAAGCUCUCUCGAUUAUCCUCCUAACUAGGUUUAAUCAAUGAUUCGACUAACCUCUUCCGAUUACUAAGAAGAACUAAUGAACUCAACGAAAAAUAAAAAGAUAUCACAAGUUAUGUCUUUCCCGAUUACAUGAACAAGUGAAUAUAGAUACAAUAUUUAAAUCAUCCAAAAAUGCCUCAAUAUAUAAAACUAGAGUUAUAAUCAACAAACAAUCAUCAAUAUACCAAAUUCAUCAAACCAUAAAGAGACUACUUCAUAUACAUGGAUUAAUUCAUUACAAAUUUAAUUAAAGUAUAGAAAAACAUAAAUUCAAUCCAAAUUCGGGUCUUGAGUAGGGAAGGAAUGGUGAAAUUCUUGAGCUAGUGUUCUUCCAAAUCCUCGUUAGCUUCCUUUGGUCAAAAGUAUGUCAAAAGUCAAAAAAAACAUUUUUCCAUGUACUUAUACCAAGUAAGGUUGGGCCUAGAUGAAACUCCCUUUCCUAGACGAAAUAGGAAAAUUUGCAAACUUAUUACUUUUCAUGCGUCGAACAAUGCUAUGUAGGUGCGUAGCAUUAGUGCAAUUUUCUCGAUUGUAAACUCUUUGAACUUAGUGUGCCUGACAAAAUUUUGUACUGAUGCUACGAACUAUGCCUAGCAUUAGUGUAUCUUUCUGUUAGACACAAAUAUUACAAGUCUUUGAACUUCUCAAAUUUCUCACGCACAUUUGUAUUUAUGCAUCGCACUGUGCUACGCAUAGUGUGUCGCAUUGGUUCAUUUCCUCGUAGUGUUGUUUCUUCCUUGAUUUUUAACAUCCAAAAGUAAUCCUCGACCCCUGAACAUGAUCCUAGCUUAAUCCCUUGAGAUUUUACUCAGACUUCAAAGCUUCAAUUAUUUUAUUUAGCUCCACAAGAUCUACAUAACUUGGAAUCAUUCCUACAAGGCAUAAAAUAUGCAAUAAGUGAAAAAUACUACCAAUUAAAGCUCAACACAAGUAAAGUACAAUGAAUUAAAAUGUAAUAAGUGACUAAAACAUGAGAUUAUAGCCUACUAUCGGUGCACGUUUCAGAAGGCGCGUUGUGUUUUGGCUUACGAACGCUUCAGUGGCAUUGUGGUAUUUGCAUGGUUGAUCGACUGUUGAUGUGCAGAUUUUGCCAUACGGAGCGGGGGAAUUAUAGUAGUAUUUCUCAUGAGAUAAUUGUGUAUGAAAGAUGUAUUAGUCAUUCGAAUGUUGGAGUUGGGAUUGGCUAUAGUGAUCCAUAUGUUCUAUGGAUUUGGAGAUUGGGAGUUCUUAGAUGCAAAUUAUUUCGCAACUGUGCACCGUGAAGAUGUGGCCAAAGAUAUAUAAGUGGUGGUAAGUGUUUAUGGGUAGGUCAUUGGGGACUUGUGGAGGGCUAUGUGUCCAGUUGGGGAUGAUCGGAGUUGAUUUAGGGUUCAUUGGUAGGCCUAAUGAGGAUGCUAUCUACACCAGGUCAGAUUUCUUAACUCAGCACUGCUAUUAUUGAGGGGUGUGUCACUUAGUUGGGGUUGAUCUUGUUUAUUUUCCGAUAUGUUCUUGUGUUACUCUUUCAUGCUACGAGGGGUUGUGAUUUGUUAGUUAUAUGCAUACCCUAUACGGUUCUAUUUGGGCUUUAUAGUAGAAUUCGAUCGAGAUUGCUAUUUGGGGUGUUGAAUGUUUGAUUGUGCCUUGGUUACGGCAUUUCCAGGCUGUGGUAUAUUAUGUUAUUCGCUUCUCUCUGGUUAUGUUCAUGCACUUUGUGUACUUGAUGUCGAAUUGCGUGUGGUUGUUGAUUUUGAGCAUUAUGGCUUGAGGUAUUUCAUAGGAACGUUGUUUGGCUAGGGUCACAUGUUGCUUUGGAGUUAUGUUGAGAUAUAAUCUUUUGAGUUAGAUUCAUAUUUUUCGGUUCUACUAUGUGCGAUAGGUUCAUAACUUUGUGUUUGUGGUGGUACUUGUUGAGCUUGCGGGACAGUUCUCUCAUUUGAGUUAUUUUCCAUGUCUGAGUACAUUUGAAUUGUCGCUUAUUGGUUCACAGAUUGCACGGUUAUGGAUUUAGGUUUUAUUAGUAUGGCAUGUUAAUAGAAUAGUUGUGUUUGAUGAGAUAAGCUCAUUCGACCUAGAAUGGAUACUAUUGGAUUUGAUUACGGUAUGUUUGGAAGAAUAAUGUCGAAAGUCGGGUUAGGAUUUGGCUUUGGUUCUUAUAGGGAGAGAGAGGAGAGAGAGAGAGAGAGAGAGAGAGAGGGAGGGAGAGAGAGAGAGAGAGAUAGAGAGCUCCAUCACUCGUCGAUCCAAUGAGUGGUUUAUGAGUUUCUACGCAUUUCUUUCAUCAUUUGCAGUGUACGAAGGUUUUGAACAAGGUUUAAUUCGAUAUGAGGUUUACUACCAGUAUCGAACAAGGUUUAAUUCGAUAUGAGGUUUACUCCCGGUAUCGGGUUUGUUUUAAGCAACUACUAUAACCAGAAAAUUUUUCUACUAGUAUGUGAGUGAUAUAAUAUAUCAUGUGAUUUCAUCUUGGGUUAUGGGUAUGGCUUGAUACAUAUUGUUCAUACUUAUAUAGGUUGUAGAUAAAAGAUUCAGGUCUUAUAAGGAAUUCCGGAUGUUGAAAAUUAGGUACCAAGGUUUAUGGGCUAAGGAUAAAGUGAGGGUCUUUAGUUAUGUUGUGAUGUCGGGCGUAUAUGGAAUAUGGUGACGUGGGAGCACCCCCGAGUAUUUGCAUAGUAAGUUUACACAUUGAUUUGAUGGCCUUGGAAUGACUCUUGGUACGUUCGAGGAUGAACAUAUGUUUAAGUGGGGGAGAAUGUAACGAACCGACAGGUCCUUUUGAGAAGUUGUGUUACGUUCAGCUAUUUGAAGUCUUGAGUAGCUUCGUAUGAUGUAUUUUGGCUUGUGUAAAUCAACAGUUUUGGUUUUCAGAUGAUUCGGAAUUGAUUUGGAAGAAUGAUUCCUAAUUAGGAAGCUUUAAGUUGGAAGAGUUGACCAAAUUUGACUUUUGUGUAUUUGACCUUCGGAUCGGAAUUAUGAUGGUUCUGUUAGGUCUGCAUAGUGAUAUUGGACUUAGGUGUAUGCCCGGUUUUGUAUUUGGACGUUUUAGAAGGUUUCAGCUCUAUUUGACGAAAGUUGGCAAUUAGAAUGUUUAGAAUAUUCAUAAGUUUGACAGGGAGUUGACCUUGAUGAUAUUUGGUUGUACUGUGGUUUUGAGAAUUAAAAUAGAUUUUUUGUGUCAUUUAGGACUUGUGUGCAAAAUUCGAGGUCAUUUCGGGUUGGUUUGAUAUGGUUCAGCAUGAGUUUUGUAAGUUGAAAGUUCAAAAGUUCAUUUAAGUUUGAUUUGAGGUGUGAUUCGUUAUUUUGAUAUUGUUAUCAGUGAUUUUAGACCUCGAGUAAGUUGGUGUUAUGUUAUGGGAGUUGUUGGUAUGUUCGAACAAGGUCCCGAGGGGUUCAGUGAAUUUCAGAUAUCUUUCAGACCUUUUCCUCUCAUUUUGAAUUGCACUUUUUACUGAUGUCUGCAAUGAAUUGCGCUUGCGCGGGACUCAUCAUGAUCGCAAAUAAGGAUUUGGACUGGGAUAUUUUACCUCUUCGUGCUUUCGAGUAUUGAGCCACGUUCGUGGUGUAUAUGGGACUUGAGCUUCACGUUUGCAUUUGCGUAGUCGUGUUCGUGAUCGUGAAUAGGAGAACUAUUCUGCGCGUCCGCGAGAUGUGGGUUGCGUUCGAACUGUGUGGCAUCUCUAGGAAUCACGUUUGCUUGGAAUUCAUUGCGAAUGCAUAAGGCAUUUUUUGUGGCAAUUCAUUUUGUUCAUAGCGAGUGCAAAAAGCGAAUGCGGUGUUUUUCUGUGUUCGCGAAGUGUUCGCCUAGGCAGUGCCUAUAAGUAUUUUCUACUCAUAUUUCAUCACAUGAAUUGAGGUAAGUGUUUUCUACUCGAUUUUGAUUAUAUUUUAUGAAUCCGCCUUCGAUUUUGGUACUUGACUGAUGAUUUUGAAAAAGAAAUUGGAGAUUUUUAUCUAAACUUUUCUAAAGUGAAUUUUUAAUUUUUGAACAUCGAUCCGGAGUCGGAUUUCAAUAAAACUAGUGUGUUUAGAAUCGUAAUUGAAUAAUUGUUGGAUUUUGUGUGUGUUUUUAGGUCCAAUGUGCGGGCUCGGGAUUGACUUUUUGGUUGAUUUUUGGCUUUUGAUUAAAGAUUCUACCUUUGUCGAUUAGGUUUGUUUCCUUUGCCAUUAUUUGAUGUUCUUGAGUUGCUUUUGGACUAGUUUUGAUCCAUUCGAAGGUCGGUACAUGGGGAUGGCAUUUCUAGAGUGUGGGUUUGCUUGCUCGGUAUUGGAUUUGGCUUGUUCAAGGUAAGUAACAUAUCUAAACUUGGAAUUGAGGGUAUUUAACCCUGGAAACUGUGUUAUAAAAGAUGUAUUUGAGGUGACGCACAUGUGGGUGUGCACCGAGGAAAUCAUGAUUCUAGUCGAUAAUUAGACUAUGCCCGGACUUGUUUUGCUAUUAUAUCUUAUUAUAUCUAUGUUCUCCUGUCUCAGCCAUGGACUAUAUUAGAAAUCAUGUUUAGGAAAUGUACUUAAUCGGUUGAGAUCUAAUAAAUUUGUUUCUAUUGUUUUGAGUUAUCUUCUCUCACUGUAAUCAUAUACUCAAUCAUGAUUCUUUGUUUUAUAUCAUAUCUCAGUCUAUGUUAAUCAUCCAUUGCUACAUCAUUUUAUCAUUGUUUGGGCUGACUGGCAUGAGAUUUGUGAGCCCAUGAUACUGGAGAGAUUGAUGACUCAGUUGAGGCCUGAAGGCGAAGUUGUGAGUGAUAUUUAUGAGACCGGAUUGCAUGCUGCAGCAUGCCAUAUUGGCUUAUAUAAUUACUUGUAGGAUUUCCCCCUUCGGAGUCUGACAUACCAGUAGUAACCACAGGUACCGAGUGACCAAGUGCCGAGUGAUUGAGUGUACUAAGAGAUUGAGUGUACCGAGUGAUUGAGUGUGCCGAGUGAUUGAGCGUGAGACAGUGAGAUUGAGUACUUUGAGAGUGUGAGUAUAUGAUUUUAUCACUGUGAUGCAUUACAUUUGACAUGCAUCCUUAGCAUGUAAGCAUAGAGAUGCAUUUUCUCAUAUUAUACGAUAUUGUAACAACUUCUCAUGCACAUCGACAUGUAAACAUAUAGAAGUACUUUGCUCAUGUUAUCUGAUAAUGAAAUAUCUUCUCUGUUGUUGAAAGUUAUUGGGAAAAAUCUUAGUUUUUCUGAUAUACUCAUAUUUUGGUGAUUUCAAUGAAAGAGUUGGGUUUUACUAUUAUACCUAAAAAGCAUACCUAUUUUCCAUAACUAUGAACGAGUUGAGCAUUCUAUCUUUUAGUUAUUACUUGUACUAUUUUUUAUUGUAUUAUCACGAUUAGUUCUUGGCUAUUGGUAUUGGACUCUGACUGUUUGUCCAAGCUCGUCACUGCUUUCAACUAAGGUUAGGUUUGUUACUUAUUGAGUAGAUGAGGUCAUUUGUACGCAUACUACACUUUUGCACCUUGCAUGCAGAAUUUGGAGCUGAUGUUGUUGUAUAUGGCGGGAGUUGGCAUUGAAGAUGUACUUGUGUUCCAACUAGAACUGCCUCUUAUCUUGGUGGUUUAGAUUUAUAAAAUCUGUUCAUGCAUAUUUCGAACAGGUGAUGUAUUUAUGUCAUAUUAGCUUUUUAAAAUCUAAUCUUAAAAUCUCACGAUUUGUACUACUAGCCCUUAGGGAGUUGUAUAAAAUUCAGUUAUUUCAUUUUAACUCUUAUAAUUAUUUUGUUAUAUUAUGGUUUAUAGUUAUUUGGCUUAUCUAGGUUGGGUUAGGUUCCAUCAUGAGUAGUGAAUUUUGGGUCAUGAUAUUAAACUUAUUAUUUAUAAAUAUUCCCACAUUAUAACUUAUUUUUGUUAUUUAUAUUUUUUUUAUUUUAUCUAUUAGACUUGAGUUAUGCGGCCUUAUCCACAUUGUGACCUUUCUUAUCAUAAUAGAUUUAAAAAAUCAUUAAAAUUUAAAUAAGUUUUAUCAUUUUUUUCCUUUAAUUUUUUAUUUUUCUCUAUUUGUGCCUUAUUUUUGCUAUUAUAUUAUUCAAUAUUUAAUAUUAUUACAUUCGCAUGUGGCUUUUCAUAUGUUUGUUUGAAUUUAAUAUUCAUUUUUAAUGUACUCAUUCUAAUAUAAUAUUGAUAGAAAUUUAAAAAAAUCAAUAGUAACUUUGACUCUAUUGUUCAUAUUCCAAAAUAUAAUUUUCUUAUCAUAUUUCAAAAAAAAAUCUCAAAUUCAAAUAUAUCUUAUUCUUCUACUUUCUAAAUUGGAUCGGAUUUUUUAAAAAAAAAUUUAUGCUUUCGAACUUAAACUGCUGGACUCAAUUCAUAUAAUAAUCAUAAAAAAAAUUUAAAUGUUUCAACACAUUAUAUCUAAUUGUUAUAGUAGCAUUUCCAUUUUCAUUUUAUUUCUCUAUGUAAUGUUUCCAAACAAUAUAAAAAUUAUGAAAUGAAAGAAAAUUGAUCAUGUUGAUAGUGAAUAACUACUAAAGAAGAAUUCUUAUUUUUGGAAAGCUUUCAAAAUCUAUAUAGUAUGAAAUUAUGAGUCAAUUUAAUUGACUUCCUCCAUAAACUAAAUUUGAUCAAAUUUAAUUUGUCCUAAUCCUUAUUAGAUUUAUUUAAAUCUAUUUAGAUUAUGUUGUAAAAGUGUCAUGUUGCAUUUUUUCAAUAUUUCACUUGUUUUAAGCUCAUGCUUCACUACCCUCAUCUUCGUAUAGAUAUAAAUUUCAUUGAAAUUUCUUCGUCAACCAAACUUCUCUUCAAAGAAAUUUCAAUCGUAAUAGUGUUAGCAAAAAAAAUUCUAACUAUUGACAAUAAACUUAUAACUAGUUUUUAUCUUAUAUAUGUAUUUAAAUUUACUGUAAAUAGCAUCACUAACUUGAAUAAAUUUUAAAUGGUUCUAUAAUUUUUGGUAACAACCUAGCAGACUAAACAAUUCUUUUUUCUCCCACCAGCAUAGGACGACAUCGACAAUUAUCAAACUUUAAUAAUUAGUCAUUUACAUUAAGGUGACUAGUUAUUGUGUAGGUCAAAAUCUGACCAUAAUAGUCGACCAAGUUGGGACCCCGCCUAGGUGGCGAAAUAGCGAGAAGCACCACGGCUAACCUCAGUCCAAGCAUCGAUAGUGUAUGUUAAGUAAAAACAGUACUCAAGUAAAUGACUGAAAAGACCGUUGCGUAAAGAUACAUCAAUCGAAGAACACAAUAAAUAUCUUAGAAAUAUAUAUAGAAGGGGAAUUCUCAAAAAAAGGGACUGGACUUUUCCUCUCUACUCUCUUUCCAAAAAUUUCUUCUGGUGCAAGAAUGUAAAUUGAUUUUUCUCUGUAUCUAAUGAAAGAUGAGAUAGUAAAAUCAAUAAAUACUGAUUGCUCUUAUUCUUCAUUCAUUAUAUUGCUUUACGUUUUUAGAUCUGAAGUUAAUUAUGCCUCACUAAGAUUUGCCUCUUCAUUAUCAUUAAUUGCUUAACAAAAAAGGUUUUACUAUUCUGUAUCUUUUGGUCAAACAAUUUGGUACCGUUUGUGGGAAUUUCUUAGUCAAAUUUCCUAGUCUACUUUAGGUCCAAAACGGUGAAACAUAAUCAUCCAUCAGAAAGAAUGAUAGGAAACCUCACGUUCUAAUCUAGAUCUUGAUGCUCCGUGAAAACAAAAGUUACAAUUAAUAUCCAUGCAAAGCUCACAAGAUGAGAUGACACCCGUUGUACGAUCCUAUAAAAAAUUGGACACAUCUUUCCCUACUUUGACAUUCCCCCAGCGAGAUAAGACAAACCCAAACCCACACGGAGCCAGGGAAUCAAAAGGGGGGGAGAGCUGAAUACGUCUGCCGAAUGCACAAAACUACCACUCCGUCAACCACUCAAAUGCCAGGCAGAGCGAACAAUGCUAUAUGGCUACCCUCCUUCAUCGACUCAUCAGAUCGAGGUAAUAAAAAUCUCAACUUGGUUUACCUUAUGUUGCUUUCUUAAACAGGAGCACAAGUUCUGUAUGGGCGAGCAAGCAAAGAAGCAUUCCAACUGGAGUGGAAAAACUAUUACAAAAUAACUUAAAUGCCGCCCAUCUCACACAUCUAAACUUCUGGAAAGGGAUGUCCCCCAAGUCGUACUCCUCGUCCUCACCCGGGUAUUGUCCCGAUUAGUCUCUCCCGAGGAGAUUUUGAACAAGGCAGUGAGGGAGAUAUCACCAAGAUCAAAGUAUAGUUCAUCGUCCCGCGUAUCGGCAAUCCCCCCAGGCCGAAUGAUGAAGGGGUUAAACAUGGAAAUUCCAAGAUAUACAUGAAAAGAACAUGAGCAAGACAUCACACUCUGCAAUACAUACAGCAUUAAGCAAACUGGUCAUCCCCCAAAGGACACCUAAAACUCUCCGAAAAAUUGGGACUCAUAAAGGGUUAAAUUUUCGACGACAGCUCGAAAUAACACCCCUAUGGUUAAGGGUCAUCGUCGAAAAAUAAGAAUUUGACCUCGGUCGAAUUAUAAUGGGUUAACAUUUCGAUGACAGCUCGAAAUAACACCUCUAUGGCCAGGGUCCAUCGCUAAAAAAGAAGAGUUUUACCUCGCCCGAAUUAUAAUGGGUCAAUGUUUCGACGACAACUCGAAAUAACAUCCUUACGGCCAGCGACAUCGCCAAAAAAGAAGAGUUCGACCUUAUUUGAAUUACAAUAGGUUAAUAUUUCAACGACAGCUCGAAAUAACACCCCUACGGCCAAGGGCCACUGCCAAAAAAGAAGAACUCGACCUCGCUCGAAUUACAAUUAGUUAACAUUUCGACGGCAACUCGGAAUAAAACCCCUACAGCCAAGGGUCAUCACCAAAAAAGAAGAGUUCUACCUCACUCGAGUUAUAACGGGUUAACAUUUCGACAACAGCUCGAAAUUACACCUCUACGGCCAAGGGCCAUGUCUAAAGAAGAAGAAUUUUGUGAUGACCCAAAGGGGUCAUUACUGUAAUUCUCCCUUGUUCUAUGCAUUCGAGGCCCUGAAAAACAUCACUUUUAGUUGCUUCGAUUUGAGUGCGUAGUCCGGACGCGAAGCCGAAAAUUUUCAUGUUAAAAUAUGUGAAUUCUGUGAAAAUUUGAAGAAUUUUGAUAUUAAUAUUGAUAUAGUUAACUUUGGUCAACAUUUUGGGUAAACAGACCCGAACUCGUGAUGGGACGGUCCCUGGAUCUCUGUAGAAAAAUAUGGGACUCGGGCAUAUUCCCAAAAUCAAAAUCCGAGGUUCCGAGCCCAAGUAUAGAGUUUUUUAAAGAAAUUGUUUUCAGUAAUUAAUUAAGGAAAAUGGAAAGGAAAAUGAAUUAAAAACCUGUGGUAUCGAGCUCGUAUUUUAGUUCCAAUUUUUGGAACAGGUCUUAAAUAGGUGUUAAGAGCUAUCUGUAAAGUUUGGUUAAAAAUGAACGUCGUUUGACAUGUUUCGGACUAAAAGUGGGAAAUUUGAAGUUUGUGAAAGUUGAAAGAAGAAUUUUGUAUUUUGAGGCUUAAUUCAUAGAUCUUGAUGUUAUUUUGGCAAUUUGAUGACACGGGUAAGUCUGUAGGAUAUUUUUGAGGUUAUGUGCAUGUUUGGUUUGGAGCCCCGAGGGCUCGGGUGAGUUUUGGAUAGGCAUCUUGCAUUUCUCAUGUUUUGAAAAUCUUGUAUGAGACUUCUGCAAUUUUCGCAAAUGCGAAGCCAGAGUUCGCAAAAGUGAAUGCCCAGUUAUCGCAAAUGCGAAGGCUAGUUCACAAAUGCGAAACUAGCCCAGGCAGGCCAAUGUUCGGAAAUGCGAACUUUUCUUCGCAAAUGCGAGGAGGGGAGUUUGACCUAUUAUCACAAAUGAGAUCAAAUGUUCGCAAAUGCGAACCUUCCCCAAAUGGCCCAAGUUCGCAAAUGCGACUUAUUUCUCACAAAUCCAAGCUUGCUGAGUUCGCAAUUGCGAACCCAGCUUCGCAAUUGCGAUACGUGCACCUGCAUAUUUCAUACUUAGAUGAUUUUAGAGCUCAUUUUUCAUAAUUUCAAAACCCAAACACCCAUUGGAGAUUUCUCACAAACUCUCUCUUCUCCAAUCAAUUGUAACAACUUUUACUCAAUUUCUUCAAUCUUUAAUUUUAUUUAUCAUGAUUUCAUCUAAAAAUCAAGGUUUUUCCAUGGGUGAAAAUGGGGAUUUUGGGUAGAACCUAGGUUUUCACUAAAUUGGGGAUUUGGACCUCAAUUUGAGGCCCGAUUUCAAAACAAAUCAUAGUAUUGACUCGUGGGGGAAUGGGUAACCCGGUUUUAGUUCAAACCUCGAGUUUUGACCACGUGGGCCCUGGGCGUUUUGGGAAUUUUUGGGCAAAACUUUGGAAAAUUCAAUCUUACGCAUUCAAAUUGAUUUAACAAGCAUUUAUUGAUACAGUAGAGUAAUUUGUGACCAAAUUCGAACGGUUUUGAGUGAAUUUGAAGGGUAAAGCUAUACUAUAGGCUUGAGUUGUGUUUGGAACUUUCGAGGUAAGUGCUUAAUCUAACUUUGGCUUGAGGGAAUAGGAUUGAGGAAUUAUUUGCUAAUUGCUAAAUGUUGAGUACGGUGUAUACGCAUGGUGAUGAGUAUCUAUACAUUGGUGUCGAGUAUGACCGUGAGUCCUAAAUUGUUAGUUUAUCGAAUUAUUAAUUGUUAUUUAUGAGUAAUUGGUUGUAAAUCUUUAAUGCUAUGCUAGUAAUUGUUGUGACUAAGCAUGGAUUUUAUCGUGUAAGUAGAAAUCGAAUAAGUUUGGUUAUAGAUGGAUCUCCCUUGCCGGGAUAGUUUAUAAUAAUAUAUUUUCCUCCCUUACUGGGAUUACUUUGUGUUUUGUGUUGAAAGAUAAGGGAUCAUGUGGAACGCCGACCAUGAGAUAUUAUGAUUGGGAUCGUGCGGCACGCCGACCAUGAGAUAUUAUGAUUGGGACCGUGUGGCACGCCGACCACGAGAUAUUAUGAUUGGGAUCGUGUGGCAUGCCGACCACGAGAUAUUAUGAUUGGGAUCGUGCGGCACACCAACCACGAGAUAUUAUGAUUGGGAUCGUGUGGCAUGCCGACACUAGAUAUUAUGAUUCAGAUCGUGUGGCCCACUGACCACGAUAUAUUAUGAAAUGGGAACGUGUGACACGCCGUCCACAUAUGAAUUAAGAAAUGGGAUUGUGUGGUGCGCUGACCACUUAUAUAUGAGUUAUGGUAUUGAGGUAGUUUUGUUGCUAUAUCCGUUGAUAAGUUUUCACUAAAUCUCCCACGAUCAUGCCCCUUCCCUUUUAGUUGAUAUUUCUGUUUUUAUUUUUGUUGCUUCUGUAUAUGUAUAUAUAUCUGCACAGGUUGCUUUAGGUAGGUCCUGUCUAGCCUCGUCACUACUUCGCCGGGGUUAGGCCAGGCACUUACCAGCACAUGGGUCGGUUGUGUUGAUGCUACAUCUAUGCAUCGUUUUGCGCAGAUCUAGGUGUUGGAGUAGAAUUUGAGUAGCAGUAGCAUUUUGGGAGCGAGCUUCCAGUCUAGGGACAUUUGAGGUAGCCUUGUUAACGUCUGCAGGCUUGGAGUCCUUUCUAUUUCAUCCAGUUUUUUAUCACUGUACCGUAGAAGACAGUUUUAUGCUUCAUUUGAACCUUGUAUUUAGUAUUCUCUAGACGUUAGUGAGUAAUGUGACACCAGUCUUGGGUGGAGUAUUUGUUAAACUCCUACAUUUCUUUCAGUAAAUUACAUAAUUGUCUUGCCUAGCUCUUAUUAGUAGGCGCCAUCACGACUCCCGAGGGUGGGAAGUUCAGAUUAUGACAAGUUGAUAUCAAAUCACUAGGUUACAUAGGUCUCACAACUCAUGGACAAACUCGGUAGAGUCUGAGGGAUCUGUACGGAGACAUCUGUAUAUAUCCCCCAAAGGCUACUGAAUUAGGAAAAACUUCACACUGGUUCUUUCUUGUCGUGUGUUUCCGUUUCUCAAACACCGUUUGAAUUUCUACUCUAUUCUUUCACAGAUGGAAAGAACAUGCACUUCAUCAUCAAUUGCUCAAUGAUCUGAGCCUCGAGUAGCAGUCCCAGAGGCAGAGCCACAGGUCGAGUUUGAGUAGGAGGUUCUAGCCCUAGCAGCUCCGAUGGGCCCAGUUCAGGUCUCGGAGGGGUUAAUAGCCAUCUAAGUUCUUCAGGACGCUUUUGUUAGAUUGGUAGGCCUUGUGGAGAGCCCUAUUCGAGCGGAUUUGCUUCCCGGAGUUCAGCCAGCAGUGGCAGGUCAGUCGGAUACAGUGGCUCAGGCCAAGAGUGAGAUUAUUUUUAGGAGACGGCCAAUAUGGGCCGCAGAGUUGAGGUGGUUCUGUCAUAGGGAGGCAGUCAUAUGUCGGAUAGGAGGCCCUGUCAUGUAUGCAGAUUCAGUGGUACCUCGUUUGGAGGUAGGGGUACUUAUGGUAGAGGCCAUCCUCCCAGGCCUUUUCAGUCAGCUCCCUAUGUCACUCAUGGUACUUCUGGUGUUCAUUCAGGCUGAUAGGGUCAGCCCCAGUUUCCUCAGCAGCAGCGUUUGACUAGAUAUUAUGAGUGUGGUGAGUAUGGUCACAACAUGGGGGUUUGUCCGAUGUUGAGGGGUGCUCAGCCGCAACAGAUGAGGUUUUGCCAUGCUUGUGGUGAUCCGAGGCACAUCGUCAGAUUUUGCCCUCGAGCUUAUGGCAGCUUCCAGCAUCAGAGUUCUCAUGCUAUAAUUUCGGCACCGGAGGUUGCACAACUUUCCCUGCCAGCUAGAGGCGGUGGCAGAGGUAUUAGAGGUAGAGUUCAGGUCGCUAGAGGUAGAGGCCAGCCAGCAGCUAGGUUAGAGGGUGAGUCUUCAGGUGCAAGCAUUAAAGGUACCAUUCUGAUUCGCAUUAGAGAUACUUCAGUUCUAUUUGACCCUGGAUUUACAUAGUCAUAUGUGUCGUCGUAUUUUGCACCCUACCCGGUUAUGCCUAGUGAUGCCUUGAGUGUUCCUAUUUAUGUAUCUACACUGGUAGGUGAUUCUAUAGUGGUCGACCGAGUGCAUCGUUCAUGUGUGGUAGUAUUUGAGGGUUUGGAGACCCGUGUCGACUUAUUUCUCUUAGAUAUGGUGGACUUUGAUGAUAUAAUCGGGAUUGAUUAGUUAUCCCCGUGCCAUAAUAUUUUGGGACUGUCGCACCAAGACCGUGACUGUGGCUUUACCCGAUUUUCUCCAUAUAGAGUGGGGAGGGAUUUCAGAUCAUCCAACCCGCAGUGUGAUGUUGUAUGCGAAGGCUCGACGUAUGGUUGAGAAGGGGUGUCUAACAUAUUUGGCGUAUGUUUGCGACUCCAGCGCAGAGUUUCUAUCUAUCGACUCUGUUCCUAUUGUUCGGGAAUUCCCCGAGGUUUUCCCUUCAGACCGGCCGGGUAUGCCGCCUGACAGGGAUAUUGAUUUCUGCGUGUUGACUUAUUGCUCUUAGAUAUGAUGGACUUCGAAUUCAUAUUGGGGAUGGAUUGGUUGUCCUCGUAUCAUGCUAUUUUGGAUUGUCACACCAAGAUUAUGACCUUCGCUUUGCUAGAUUUGCCCCAUUUAGAGUGAAGAGGGACUUUAGAUUAUUGGACCCGCAGAGUGAUAUCGUGUGUGAAGGCUCGACGCAUGGUUAGGAAGGGGUGUUUAGCUCAUUUGGCGUAUGUUCGCGACUCCGGCGCAGAGGUUCCUUCCAUUGGUUUUGUUCCUAUUGUUUUAGAGUUCCCCAAAGUUUUCCCCUCAGACCUGCUGGGUAUGCCGCUCCACAAGGGUAUUGAUUUCUGUAUCGAUCUGGCUCCGGGCACUCAACCCAUUUCCAUUCUACCCAGUAUCGCAUGGCCCCACCAUAGUUGAAAGAGUUAAGGAACAACUUCAGGACUUGCUUGAUAAGGGUUUCAUUAAACGUAGUUUAUCACCUUGAGGUGCGUCAGUGUUAUUUAUGAAGAAAAAUGAUGGGUCGGUGAGGAUGUGCAUUGAUUACCGACAAUUGAAUAAGGUGACGAUACAGAACAAGUAUCCACUAUUGAAGAUUGACAAUUUAUUCGACCACCUUCAGGGUGUUAGGGUGUCCUCGAAGAUAGAUUUGAGGUCUGGUUAUCAUCAGCUCAGGAUUAGCGCCUCUGAUGUCCCUAAGACAGCAUUUCGUACUCGGUAUGGGCAUUAUGAGUUCUUAGUCAUGUCAUUUGGAUUGACCAAUGCCCCGACAGCAUUUAUGGGGUUGAUGAACCGAGUGUUCAGGUCCUAUUUAGAUUUGUUCGUGAUUGUUUUUACUGACGACAUUUUGAUAUACUCCCGCAGUCAGAAGGAUCAUGAUCAGCACCUCAGAGUGGUUCUUCAGACUCUGAAGAAUAGUCAGUUGUAUGCCAAGUUAUCGAAGUGCAAGUUUUGGUUGAGUUUUGUUGCAUUCCUGGGUCACGUAGUUUCGGCAGAGGGUAUUCAGGUGGACCCGAAGAAGAUUAAGGCAGUCAAGAACUAGACUCGACCAGCGUCAGCUACAAAGAUUCAGAGUUUCUUGGGGUUAGCAGGUUGCUACCGACGCUUCGUGGAGGGGUUUUCAUCCAUUGCAGCCCAAUUGACUAGAUUGACCCAGAAGGGUGCCCAGUUCAGGUUGUCAAAUGAGUGCGAGGCAAGCUUCUAGAAGCUCAAUACAGCUCUGACUACGGCACCGAUAUUGGUUUUGCCUACAGGAUCAGGGCCUUAUACCGUCUAUUGUGAUGCAUCCCGUUUUGGGCUAGGCACAGUGUUGGUGCAGAAUGGCAGAUCAUAGCAUAUGCUUCGAGGCAGUUGAAGAUCCACGAGAAGAAUCAUCCAGUUCAUGACCUAGAGUUGGCAACAUUGAUAUGGAGGCAUUAUUUAUAUGGUGUGACGUGUGAGGUGUACACGGAUCACAAGAUCCUUCAAUACUUGUUCAAGCAGAAGGAGUUGAAUUUGAGGUAGAGGAGGUGGUGGAGUUGUUGAAAGACUAUGAUAUUUCUAUUUUAUACCACCCAGGAAAGACCAAUGUGGCAGUCGAUGCAUUGAGUAGGAAGUCCACCAGCAUGGGUAGUCUUGCUUAUAUCCCCGUCAGCCAAAGACCGCUUGCUUAAGAUGUUUAGACCUUGGCCAAUCAAUUUGUGAGGUUGGAUAUUUCUGAGCCUAGCAGGGUGUUAGCUUAAAUAGUUGCUCGUUCGUCAUUAAUGGAGCGUAUCCGUGAGCAGCAGUUUGAUGAUCCCCAUUUGUGUGUCCUGAGAGACACGGCGCAACGUGGAGGUGCCAAGAAAAUGACCUUGGGAGGUGAUGGUGUAUUGAGACUGCAGGGGCAAGUUUGUGUGCCCAAUGUUGAUGGUAUUCAGGAAUCGAUCUUAGCGGAGGUCUACAGUUCUUGGUAUUCUAUUCAUUCGGGCGCCGCAAAGAUGUAUCAGGAUUUGAGGCAGCAUUAUUUGUGGCACAAAAUGAAGAAGGACAUUGUUGCAUAUGUGGCUUGUUGUAUAAACUGUCAGAAGGUUAAGUAUGAGCAUUAGAGGCCCGGUGGUUUACUUCAGAGGAUUGAGCUUCCCGAGUGGAAGUUGGAGAGAAUUACCAUGGAUUUAGUUUCUGGCCUUCCGAUGACUCAGAAAAAGUUUGAUGCUAUAUGGGUUAUUUGGAUGGGUUGACCAAGUCAGUGCUAGGAUUUAUAUCAUGGAGAUCGUUUCCCUUCAUGGGGUGCCUAUAUCUAUAUUUUCAGACUGGGGCCCGUAGUUCACCUCGCAUUUCUGUAGAGCGGUACAGUAGGAGUGGGGCACCCAGGUUUACUUGAGUACAGCAGCAUUUCAUCCCCAAACGGACGGUCAGUCCAAGUGGACUAUUUGGAUUCUUGAGGAUAUGCUCUGAGCCUGCAUAAUUGAUUUUGGAGGCUCGUGGAACCAGUUUUUUUCCAUUAGCAGAGUUUGCCUACAACAACAGCUACCAGUCCAGCAUUCAGAUGCUUCUGUAUAAGGCAUUCUAUGGUAGGCGGUGUCGGUCCCCAGUUGGAUGGUUUGAGCCAGGAGGGGCUUGGUUAUUGGGUACAGAUCUAGUUCAGGAGGCCUUGGAUAAGGUCAAGAUAAUUUAGGACAAACUUCGAACAGCUCAGUCUAGGCAGAAGAGUUAUCAAAACUGCAAGGUCCGAGAUAAUGCUUUCAUGGUUGGUAAGCGAGUGUUGCUCCAAAUGUCGCCUAUGAAGGGAGUGAUGCGAUUCGGGAAGAAGGGAAAGCUUAGCCCUAGGUUCAUUGGCUCAUUUGAGGUUCUUGAUCGCAUGGGAGAUGUGGCUUAAAGACUUUCCUUGCCGCCUAGCUUGUCAGCCGUGCAUCCAGUUUUUCAUGUAUCCAUGCUUCGGAGGCAUCAUGCCGAUCCAGCCACGUGUUAGAUUUCAGUACUGUCCAAUUCAACAAGGAUCUGUAUUAUGAGGAGGAGCCAGCGGCUAUUUUAGACCGGCAAGUUCGAUAGUUGAGGUCGAAGAGUUUUCCUUCAGUAUGUGUUCAGUCGAGAGGUCAGCCUCCUGAGGCAUUGACCUGGGAGUCUGAGUCUGAUAUGCAGAGCCGUUAUCCUCAUCUAUUCCCCGACUCAGGUAAUUCUUUAUUUUGUCCGUUCGAGGAUGAACGGUCGUUUUAGGGGUGUAGGAUGUGACAACCCAAAGGGGUCAUCACUGUAAUUGUCCCUUGUUUCGUGCAUUUGAGGCCCUAAAAAUCCUUGCUUUUAGUUGCCUCAAUUUGCGUGCACAGUCCAGCGCAAAGCUGAAAAAUUUUUAUGCUAAAAUAUGUGAAUUCUGUAAAAAAUUUGAAGAAUUUUGAUAUUAUAUUGAUAUAGUUGACUUUGGUCAACAUUUUGGGUAAACGAACCCUGACCCGUGAUGUGACGGUCCAGGGAGGUCCGUAGAAAAAUAUGGGACUCGGGCGUAUUCCCGAAAUCAAAAUUCGAGGUUUCGAGACCGAGUAUAGAAUUUUUGAAAGAAAUUGUUUUCUUUAAUUAAUUAAGGAAAUUUGAAAGGAAAAUGAAUUAGAAACAUGUGGUAUCGGGCUCGUAUUUUAAUUUCGAUGCUCAGUACAAGUCUUAAAUAAGUGUCAAGCGCUAUCUAUAAAGUUUGGUUGAAAACGAACGUCGUUUGAUGUGUUUCGGACUAAAAAGGGGAAAUUUGAUGUUUGUGAAAGUUGAAAGAAGAAUUUUCUAUUUUGAGGCUUAAUUUAUAGAUCUUGAUGUUAUUUUGGCGAUUUAAUCACAAGAGUAAGUCCGUAGGAUAUUUUUGAGGUUGUGUGCAUGUUUGGUUUGGAGCCCCAAGGGCUCGGGUGAGUUUUGGAUAGGCAUCGGAUUGCAUUUCUCAUGUUUUGAAAAUCUGGUAUGAGGCUUCUGCAAUUUUCGCAAAUGCGAAGCCAGAGUACGCAAAAGUGAAUGCCCAACUAUCGCAAAUGCGGAGGCUAAUUCGCACAUGCGAAACCAGCCCAGGCAGGUGAAUGUUCGCAAAUGCGAGGAAGGGGAGUUUGACCUAUGAUCGCAAAUAUGAUCAAAUGUUUGCAAAUGUAAACCUUCCCCAAAUGGCCCAAGUUCACAAAUGCGACUUACUUCUCACAAAUCCCAAGCCUGCUGGGUUCGUAAUUGCAAACCCAGCUUCGCAAUUGCGAUACCUGCACUUGCAUAUUUCAUACUUCACAAAAGCGAAUGCCCAGCUAUCGCAAAUGUGAAGGCUGGUUCACAAAUGCAAAACCAACCUAGGCAGGCCAAUGUUUGGAAAUGUGAACUUUUCUUCGCAAAUGCGAGGAAGGGGACUUUCACCUAUGAUCGCAAAUGCAAUCAAAUGUUCGCAAAUGCGAACCUUCCCCAAAUGGCCCAAGUUCACAAAUACGACUUAUUUCUCGCAAAUCCCAAGCUUGUUGAGUUUGCAAUUGCGAACCCAGCUUCGCAAUUGCGAUCGUGCACCUGCAUAUUUCAUACUUAGAUGAUUUUAGAGCACAUUUUUCAUAAUUUCAAAACCCAAACACCCAUUGGCAAUUUCUCACAAACUCUCUCUACUCAAUUUCUUCAAUCUUUAAUAUCAUUUAUCAUGAUUUCAUCUAUAAAUCAAGGUUUUUCCAUGGGUGAAAAUGGGGAUUUUGGGUGGAACCUAGGUUUUCACUAAAUUGGGGAUUUGGACCUCAAUUUGAGGUCCGAUCUCAAAACAAAUCAUAGAUAUUGACUUUUGGGGGAAUCGGUAACUCGGUUUUAGUUCGAACCUCGAGUUUUGACCACGUGGGCCUUGGGGGGUUUUGGGAAUUUUUGGGCAAAACUUUGGAAAUUUCAAUAUUAUGCAUUCAAAUUUAUUUAACAAGCAAUUGUUGAUACAUUUGAGUAAUUUGUUACCAGAUACGAACGGUUUUGAAAGAAUUCAAAGGGUAAAGCUAUACUAGAGGCUUGAGUUGAGUUUGGAACUUUCGAGAUAAGUGUUUGAUCUAACUUUGGAUUGAGGGAAUAGGAUUGAGGAACCAUUUGCUAAUUGCUAAAUGUUGAGUACGGUGUAUACGCAUGGUGAUGAGUAUCUAUACGUUGGUGUCGAGUAUGACCGUGAGUCCUAAAUUGUUAACUUAUCGAAUUAUUAAUGGUUAUUUAUGAGUAAUUGGUUGGAAAUAUUUAAUACUACGCUAGUAAUUGUUGAGACUAAGCAUGGAUUUUAUCGUGUAAGUAGAAAUCGAAUGAGUUUGGUUAUAGCUGGAUCUCUUUGCCGAGAUAGUUUAUUAUAAUAUAUUUUCCUCCCUUGCUGGGAUUACUUUCUGUUUUGUGUUGAAAGAUAAGGGAUUGAGUGGCAUGCCGACCACGAGAUAUUAUGAUUGGGAUCGUGUGGCACGCCGACCACGAGAUAUUAUGAUUCGGAUCGUGUGGCAUGCUGACACGAGAUAUUAUGAUUGGGAUCGUGUGGAACGCCGACCACGAUAUAUUAUGAAAUGGGAACGUGUGGCACGCCGUCCACUUAUGAAUUAAGAAACGGGAUCAUGUGGUGCGCCGACCACUUAUAUAUGAGUUAUGGUAUUGAGGUAGUUUCGUUGUUAUAUUAGUCGAUCAAAUAUUUGUAAAUGCGAACCUUCCCCAAAUGGCCCAAGUUCGUAAACGCGACUUAUUUCUUGCAAAUCCCAAGCCUACUGGGUUCGCAAUUGUGAACCCAGCUCUGCAAUUGCGCUACCAGCACCUGCAUGUUUCAUACUAAUACGAUUUUAAAGCUCAGUUUUAGUAAUUUCAAAACCCAAACACCCAUUGGCGAUUUCUCAUGAACUCUCUCUUCUCCAAAUCAAUUGUAAGUCAACUUUUACUCAAUUUCUUCAAUCUUUAACAUCAUUUAUCGUGAUUUCAUCUUAAAAUCAAGGUUUUUCCAUGGGUGAAAGGAAUUUUGGGUAGAACCUAGGUUUUCACUAAAUUGGGGAUUUAGACCUCAAUUUGAGGUCCGAUUUCUAAACAAAUCAUAGAUAUGGACCCGUGGGGGAAUAGGUAACCCGAUUUUGGUUCGAACCUCGGGUUUUGAUCACGUGAGUCUGGGGUGUUUUGGUAAUGUAUUGGCAAAACUUAGGGAAAUUCAUUCUUAUGCAUUCAAAUUAAUUUAACAAGUAUUUGUUGAUACAUUUGAGUAAUUUGUGACUAGAUUCGAAUGGUUUUGAGGUGAAUUCGAAGGGUAAAGCUAUACUAGAGGUUUGAGUUGAGUUUGGAGCUUUCGAAGUAAGUGUUUGAUCGAACUUUGGCUUGAGGGAAUAGGAUUAAGGUAUUAUUUGUUAAUUGCUAAAUGUUGAAUAUAUUAUAUAGGCAUGGUGACGAGUAUCUAUACACUAGUGUCGAGUAUGACCGUGAGUCCUAAAUUGUCAACUUAUCGAAUUCUUAAUUGUUGUUUAUGAGGAACUGGCUAGAAAUCUUUAAUACUGCGCCAGUAAUUGUUGAGACUAAGUACGAAUUUUAUUGUGUAAGUAGAAAUCGAAUGAGUUUGGUUAUAGCUGGAUCUCCCUUGCCGGGAUAGUUUAUUAUAAUAUAUUUUCCUCCCUUGUUGGGAUUACUUUGUGCUUUGUGUUGAAAGAUAAGGGAUUGAGUGGCACGCCGACCACGAGAUAUUAUGAUUGGGAUCGUGUGGUACGCCAACCACGAGAUAUUAUGAUUGAGAUCAUGUGGCACGCUGACCACGAGAUAUUAUGAUGGGGAUCGUGUGGCACGCCGACCACGAGACAUUAUGAUGGGGAUCGUGUGGCACGCCGACCACGAGAUAUCAUGAUUGGGAUCGUGUGGCACGGAACAUGAAAUAUUAUGAUUGGGAUUGUGUGGCACGCCGACCACGAGAUAUUAUGAUUGGGAUCGUGUGGCACGCCGACCACGAGAUGUUAUGAAAUGGGAACGGGUGGCACGUCGUCCACUUAUGAAUUAGGAAAUAGUAUCGUGUGGCGCACCGACCACUUAUAUAUGAUUUAUGGUAUUGACAUGUUUCGUUGUUGUAUCCGUUGAUCGGUUUUCACUGCAUCUCCCUGAUCACGCCCCUUACCCUUUUAGUUGAUAUUUCUGUUGUUAUUCUCGUUGCUUCUGUACAUGUACUGCACAGGUUGCUUUAGGUAGGUCAUGUUCAGCCUCGUCACUACUUCGCCGGGGUUAGGCCAGUCACUUCCCAACACAUGGGGUCGGUUGUACUGAUUCUACAUUCUGUGUAUAUUUUUGCACAAAUCCAGGUGUUAGAGCAGCAUUUGAGUAGCAGUAGCAUUUCGGGAGUGAGCUUCCAGUCCAGGGACAUUCGAGGUAGCCUUGCUGAUGUCCGCAGGCCUAGAGUCCUUUCUAUUUCGUCCAGUUUGUUAUCAUUGUACCGUAGCUGACAGUUUUAUGCUUCAUUCGAACCUUGUAUUUAGUAUUCUCUAGACAUCCAUGAGUAAUGUGACACCUGUCUUGGGUAAUGUAUUUGUUAAAAUCCCGCAUUUCUUUCAGUAAAUUAUAUUUCAGACUUCCGCUUUAUUGUUAAAUGUUUUAUUGUUGCUAAUAGUGUCGAUGUUCGUUAAAUAGGUAUUGGACAAUUGGCUUGCCUAGCUCCUAUUAGUAGGCGUCAUCACGACUCCCGAGGGUGGUAAGUACGGGUCAUGACAAAUUCGACCUCGCUCUAACUAUAAUGGGUUAGCAUUUCGACGAUAGCUCAAAAUAACACCCAUACGACCAAGGGCCAUUGCCAAAAAAGAAGAAUUCGACUUCGCUCGAAUUAUUAUGUGUUAACAUUUCCAUGAUAGCUCGAAAAAAGACCCCUACGGCCAAGGGCCAUCACCAUAAAAAAGGGUUCGACCUCGCUCAAAUUAUAAUGGGUUAAUAUUUUGACGACAGAUCGAAAUAGUACCCCUACGAUAAAGGGCCAUCGCCAAAAAAGGGUUCGACCUCGAUCGAACUAUAAUGGGUUAACAUUUCAACUAAAAUUCGAAAUAAUGCCCCUACAGCCAAGGGCCAUCGCCAGAAAGGAAGAGAUCGACCUCGAUCGAAUUAUAAUGCGUUAACAUGUCGACGACAGCUCAAAAUAAUGCCCCUACGGCCAAGGGCUAUCACAAAAAAGAAGAAUUUGGCCUCGCACGAAUAUAAUGAGUUAACAUUUUGAUGGAAGCUCAAAAUAACAUCCCUACAUCCAAGAUCCAUCGCCUAAAUAGAAUGGUUAGACCUAUCUCGAAUUAUAAUAGGUUAACAUUUUGACGACAGUUCGAAAUAACACCCCUACGGCCAAGGGCCAUCUCUAAAUAAAAGAAGAAUUCGAUCUCGCUCGAAUUAUAAUGGGUUAGCAUUUUGACGACAGCUCAAAAUAACACCCCUACGGCCAAGAGUCAUCGCCAAAAAAAAAAGAAUUCGACCUCGUUCGAAUUAUAAUAGAUUAACAUUUCGACAACAACUCGAAAUAACACCUAUACGGGUGUCACAACCCGGACUUCCCACCCUCGGGGGUUGUGAUGGCGCCUACUAUUUAAAGCUAGGAAAUCCACUUAUCUUACUCCUUUCGUUUAUAAUCCAUUAACGAUUAUAACUUAACAUUCAUAAAUAGCGGAAUUUAAUUGAGCGAAAGAAUGAAAAAUUAAUUAUUUAGCUGAUAGCAAUAUGAAUCCAUAACAUAAACUACCCAAAACUAGUGUCACAAUCUCACGAACUGUCUAAGAAAACAACAAAUAAAGUCUGAACAAGAAAGUACAUGUCUGUCUCGGAAAUAGCAAAGAACAAAUGAAAAAUAGAGAGAGAGGUGAUGCCGAGGCCUGUGGACGCCUGACUACCUCGGGUCUCCUGAUAGACUGAAGGCUGCAACCCCAAGCUAAGGUCUGUAUGCUCCAGUACCAGGAUCUGCACAAAAGAGUACAGAGUGUAGUAUCAGCACAAUUGACCCCAUGUGCUAGUAAGUGUCGAGCCUAACCUCGGCGAAGUAGUGACGAGGCUAGGACACAAUAAACCAAUAACCUGCAGCUAAACAGUAUCUACUAGAACAACGGUAAUAAAAGUAAUUCAAAAGUAACGGGGGAAGUUUACCAUGCUAUAGGGAAGAAUACCAACAUAAUGAAUCACGGUAAUAGUGGAAUAAGACAAUCAAGGUACUUGAACCAAAGCAGCAAGCAGUCAAAAUAAACAGGCAAUAAGUGCAUGGCAUCACCCUUUCGUGCUUUUACACUCAAUCCUCACCAAUGUAAUCAAAUAAUGAAAAUGUAUAUGGCAUCACCCUUCGUACUUCAUCUCUCUUCCCCACCAUAUAAGAAUUAGAACUGUGCACGGAAUCACCCUUCGUGAUUUAUCUCUCUUUCCUCACCAAAUGCAUAAAUAUGAAUGUGCACGGCAUCACCCUUCGUGCUUUAUAACUCUUUCCUUACCAAAUGCAUAAAUAUGAAUGUGCACGGCAUCACCCUUCGUGAUUUAUCACUCUUUCCUCACCCCAAACAAUAGAAACUACAAUAUCCUGGCAAAGGAAUCAACAAAAAGAAUUAACACAUCUCGGCAAGGGAAUCAACAGUAAGAAAUAGGCACGUCCCGGAAAGGGAAUCAACAAUAAGAAUUAAAUACGUCCCGGCAACGGAAUCAACUAUAACCAAACUUGCACCAAAAUAUCAACUUCACCAUUGAACUCAACUAGAGCCAAUGUCCAACAAUAAACAAAUACCAAGAAAAUAAUCAUAAAUCUUGCUCAACAUUGAUGAUCAACAAUCUAGGCAUUUGUAGUACAUACUAAGAACCAAAACGAUCACAAAAUAAGACCCACGUGCAUGCUUGACACCAAUGUAUAGGUACUCGUCACCACACCUAUACGCCGUAUACUACACUAGCACAUAACAAAUAAGGCAUAAUAUAUAUUCCCUCAAGCUAAGGUUAGACCAAACACUUACCCUCGAUGCCACAAUCACAAUUCAAGCCUCAACUAUCGCUUUACCUCUUGUUUCCACCACCUUUUUUAAUUCGCUUGUAUCUAGCCACAAGUUAUUUAAGUAUAUCAAUGAAUGCUAAAUGAAUAAAUUCUAAUACACAAAAUAUGUUUUCCAAUGAUUUCCCCAACAAAUCAAAAAAAUGAUGUUGGGCCCAUACGGUCAAAACCCGAGGUUCGAACUAAAAUUCGAUUACCCAUCACCCACGAACCCAAAUAUAUAAUUUUUUUUGAAAUCGAACCUCAAGCUGAAGUCCAAAUCCCCAAAAUUUGAAAAUCCUAAGUUCUACCCAAAACACCCAAUUUCCCCAUGAAAACUCUUGAUUUUGAAUUGAAAUCAUGUGAGAAGAUGUUAUAGAUUAAAGAAAAUGAGUUAGAAACAAAUUACAAUUGAUUUGUAGAAGAACUAUUCUUUAAAAAAUCGCCCAAGAGAGUUUAGGGUUGGAGAGAGUUUGAAAAAUGAAGAAAAAUGUGUCUAAGUCUAAAUUGUGAACCCCUUCAAGACCUGCUAUCUUCGCAAAUGCGAAGAAUAUGUCGCAUUUUUUACCAUGAAGAAGUUCGUCACCUUCGCAUUUACGAGAGACCCUUCGCAUUUGCGAUGUCGCAUUUGCGACCAAGGCCUACACAGGCUUGGUUCGCAUUUGCGACACUAGGGUCGCAAUUACCAAGAAUGUCCACUUUGCAAUUGCGAAGCCUGAUCUCGCAAUUGCGAGGUCAGAGGCCUAGCAAAAACGCCAGAUACCAACACUUGCUCAUAAGUCCAAUUUCACACUGUGGCUUAUCCAAAACUCACCCGAGCCCUUGGGCUCCAAACCAAACAUGCACCCUAACCGACAAACAUCAUACGAAAGUUGCUCGUAUGAUCAAAUCAUCAAAACACAUCGAUUACUAUGAAUUUGGCAUCAAAAUCAACUAAAAUCUAAUUAACUCUUAAGUUCCAUUUCAUAACAACCGAGGUUCCGAUCCACAUCAUAUUAAGUCCGUUUCUUACCAAAUUUUACAGGCUCAACUUAAAUACCAUAUAUGACCUGUACUAGGUCCCGGAACCAUAAUACAUGCCUGAUACCAUCAAAUUCAAACACAUUUAGAUUUCCAAAAAAACUCUUAUAAUUUCAGUUAAAUAAUUUUCUUCAAAAAUUCAUUUCUCGGGUUUGGGAGCUAGGAAUUUGAUUCCGAGCAUACGCCCAAGUCUCGUAUUUUUCAACGGAUCAUCCGGGACCGUCAAAUCAUGGGUGUCGACCCAAAAUGUUGACCGAACUUACUUAAAUCAAAUUUUGAAUCCCAAAUUAGCAUAUUCAUCAAAUUUUUACAUAAAAAUUUUUCUACGGACCCUCCCGAACCGUGCAUGCAAAUCGGGGUCAUAUAAAAGGGGGCUUUUAAGGCCUCUGAACACAUAAUUUACUUGUUAAUCAAGUUAUGACAUUUUGGGUCAUCACCUAAACAGAAGAGUUCAACCUAACUCGAAUUAUAAUGGGUUAAACAUUUUGUCGAUUGAUCGAAAUAACACCCCUAAAGCCAAGGGCCAUUUCCAAAAAUGAAGGGUUCGGCCUCUCUCAAAUUAUAAUGGGUUAACAUUUCGACCACAACUCAAAAUAAUAGCCCUACGAUCAAGGGCCAUCGCCAGAAACGAAGAGUUCGACCUUGAUCAAAUUAUAAUGGGUUAAUAUUUCGACGACAGUUCGAAAUAACGCCCCUAUGGCCAUGGGCCAUCACCAAGAUAGAAGAGUUCGACCUUGAUCUAAGUGCAACGAGUCAACAUUUUGACUCUAGCUCAAAAUAAUAUCCCUACAACAAAGGGCCAUCGUAAAAGGAAAUCUCCAAACUUAUUCGAGCCCGAAAAUGCCUUUGUAGUUAUAAGCUGUCUUGUGUGCGUUUUUCCUUCCACUUAUUAAAAAAUUGAUUUUGCUACAAACUCAAAAUUCGACCUCGUUCGGACGUGAAAACAAAAGAGAAGCGACUUCGUCUGGGUCAACGACAGUUUCACCCUGCUCGAACGGCUCAAGUCAAGACUAACCUCGUCCAGAACAACGAAAUAAUAUACUCAUUUGAGUCAAAGACGAAUCUGCUUAAAGCAAUAAGUCGCCAGUCGAUUCCACCCCAAGCAGGUGAAUAGAACGAGACUCCGUCCGGACUCAUGGUGAAUUCCUGCUUUGUCCAGCUGAAAUUGGUUUUCCUAAAAAAUUAGGAAUCCACCAUAUGAAGAUCCAACAAUUCAUGCCAAAAGAUAUGUAAAGCAAAAGAGGGAGAGAUACAAAGAAUUUAAGAUGAUGAAAACUGUGUUAUUUAAACAGUUGCAAAAAAGACCGCAAAUUGUACACUACUAAAAUCGGCCCAACACAAUUAAAAAAAGUCAACAAUGUAAACAACGACAAAUAAUAAAAGACAACAAAGAUAACAACUUUUUACUCGAUGCCAUUACCGUCGUCCUCCUCAUCGCAAUCUCCACGAAACUCCCCCUCAGCAUCAACAUCUUCGCCGACCUCCAAUGUCACGGGUUCAUAACCAUAGUUAACACGAGCCUCUCGUUCCUUCACCCGAGCUCCUUUGUAAGCGGACUCAAAAACAUUGCCCGCUUCAUACAUACUCUUGUAUAUGUUCCGCUGGGCUUCGGCAUGAACCCAAAGUUCAUGCAAAUGGCGAGGAACAAUGGCGGAGGCUAACAAUUUGGGCUAACAAUCGCCAGUCGAUUCCAUCCCAAACAGGCGAAUCGAAUGAGACUCUGUCCGGACUCACGGUAAAGUCAGGCUCUGUCCAGUUGAAAUUGGUUUUCCUAAAAAAUUGGGAAUCCACCAUAUGAAUAUCCAACAAUUCAUGCCAAAGAUAUGUAAAGCAAAAGAGGGAGAGACACAAAGAAUUUAAGAUGAUGAAAACUGCAUUAUUUAAACAGUUGCAAAAAUGGCCGCAGAUUAUACACGGCUAAAACCGGCCCAACACAAUUAAAAAAGUCAACAAUGUAAACAACAACAAACAAGAAAAGACAACAAAGAUAACAACUUUUUACUCGACGCCAUCACCGUCGUCCUCCUCAUCGCCAUCUCUACAAAACUCCCCCUCAGCAUCAACAUCUUCGCCGACCUCCAGUGUCGCGGGUUCAUAACCAUUGUUAACACGAGCCUCUCGUGCCUUCACCUGAUCUCCUUCGUAAGCAGACUCAAAAACAUUGCCCGCUUCGUACAAACUCUUGUAUAUGUUCCGCUGUGCUUCGGCAUGAACCCAAAGUUCGUGCAAAUGGCAAGGAACAAUGGUGGAGGCUAACAAUUAUGCCUUUUUGGCCUCAAGAACGGCGACCCGAUCUCCCAAAGUUGAAGCUUCUGGGUCAAUGUCGCCAAUACGCUCCUCGAGCUUCGCCUCCCUGAGCGUAGUCGUUGCCCUCUUAGGAACCUGCUUGGAUUGAAGGACAUAUAUAAUGUCCUCUAAAGCCGCCGCUCUAGCCGAAGCUGACGCCCAGGCACUGUCGACACUCUCCAACUCGGAGACCUUUCUCUCCAGCUCUGGUAAUUUCCCCAUCCACUCGAUGCUAAAAUCCUUGACUCUGACGGCAUUAAUAUCCAACUCAGACUGCAAUGACUGCACCUUCACCUGAAGAUGCUCACACUUCGGAGUGAUCCCUUUACCUAAUUCAAGUUCUUUGUCUUUAACACGAAGCUGCUCCUCGAGCUCAUUAUUCCUGCGAAUAGCCUGCAUCAGCUCCUGAUCCCUCUUCUCCAAUUACUUACCAAGAGAUCGAUCACCGGUGUUUGCCCCCACUCGUCCAUGCAUCUCAUGUCACUUGUUAAGGUAGUGCCAAUACUUCUCCUACAUCGUUUAAAAAGUUUUGGCCCGAGUGUCGUCCCUACAAGCACUUUCAAUCUCCACCAUGUACGUCUGAAAGACGAAAAGAUUGGUUAAGACAAAGGUCACCAAAGAUGACAAGAACAUAAAAGAAAGGAGAAACUUACCCUCAAGACUAUAGAGGCCACUUCAUGCAUCAAACCAAACAUCACGAACGUCCCGGAGAGCCUCGCUCUUGGGAGUAGAGUACAAAAGGUCAAACUGUUGUACCAAGUCUUUCGUAUCCUCCCGAAGGUUAAUCUCCAACGAUAUUUCAAGUAUAAGAGACGGGCCUCCCGCAUAUACCAAUGUACAAGUAAGGCCUUCCUCGAACAUCCUAACAUCGUCAGGAUCAAGGAUGGACUCGAACUCAUAAUCAUCGACCACGAUACUUUCCCCUUUCAGCGACUAAGGAAGAAGAAAGACCCGGUACGGAAGAUGAAGGACCACCCAAAGUAGUAACAGCAGCCUCGGGAUUCUAAAUCCCCACCGUAGUAGUCUGUUGGUCAACAAUAACAGUUGUAGUCUCUGUCGACGGGUUGGUCACAAUAAUCGGCUCUACCUCUACAAACGAGUUAGCAUCGUCCCCCAUCUCAAACUCCGUCAAGGGGAUUCCACCUUCUGAGCCUACCACGACUGAAGGAGCCAUUUUGGAAUCCACUCGUCGUCUCUUUGACAGCCCUUCCCCGUCCUCAACACGGGAAGACUCCCCCAUUGAGCAGGCAGUAGGAGUUGGAGCCCUAGAUUGAGGGACAGUCUCCGGCUGCGGCCGUAAAUUCAACUUGAGUGGCCAUUGAUGUAGGUCAGAUAGAUGACCUUAGUACAAGCCGAGUAGAAGAUGUCGGUUAAUGAAGUACAAGUGGAGGAGCCCUCGUCCUUCGCACUCUCCCUAAUAAUGAUAAAAGUCAUAUACGCAACAAAGCCAAAUUACAAAGUGGAAACAGAAAUUAUGGCAACACUACUUAGCAAUAAGGGGCAUACGUCCAUAUUUCUCAAAGAAGGACGACCAUUCGCGAACUCCCACUGUAUGAGGAAGAAUGGCAUUCACCCAUUUGCAGAUAUCGUCAACAGGCGCAGAGAGUAGUCUCGUGGCUACAAAAGCAAAAACAGUUCAAUACCGCCCAAAGAGAAGCAGACGAACAUAUCACUCUGACAAAAAGAUACAAAAAUUUACGUGUGAAGUUCAUUUCUCGUGGGAACCCUACGGAAUCCACCAAAAGGUGCCCAGUCCCCACAUAAAAGUAGUUUUCAUAGAAAUGAUGGUUGUCUCUAUCGUCCAUCUUCACUACCAGACUCUUGGUCCCUCGAUGGUGCAUGUGAAUCAUCAUGCCUCGAAUGAAUUGAGGGGCAAAAAUAUUGAGCAUAUGUCUCAGAAUGAUCUCACGACAGGCAAGCUCCGCGAACUUGAGUAGCAUCAAGAGCAUUUUAAACAUGUACGGAGAAAGUUGAGGCGGACACACCUCGUAUAAAUGACAAAAACCUACCACCAAGGAAGUGUGAGGAAGCGUAUACCCAAUAAUAAAAGGAUAUGUAUAGAACACACAGUAUCCUGGGCGGUCAAAAUGCAUGAUCUCAUCUCCCACUGUCGGGCGCAUCUCGAUGUGGUGUGGAAUCUCCCACCAAACCUUCAGCUCUGGAAUCGUCGUCUCAUUCAUAAUAGAGGAAAUAGGUUCUGGUUCCUCUCCGGCAGGGCUAUUGAAGUCGGUCCACUGCUUCUCGGGACGAGGCAAUAUUUCGGCCACCAUUUGAACCUCCUCAUCCUCUACUAUUUCUACUCCGGAAACAAGAACAUCAUUUCCCGAUGCCGGAACUGCAGCAAGAUUGUCAGCGCGGGAAGAAGUACCAACCAUUUAUCUCAAUUUAAUGGAAUAAAUGAACUAAGGAAAAAAGGAAGUUGAGAUGCCAAUUUUUGGCCAACAGGAGAGAACAAAAAAUCAGAAGUAUCAGAGAAGAUGAAGAUUCACAAGGUUCUUUCGACAAGUCAAGAAAGUGUGCCAAUAAAAUGGUGUUUCCCCUAUUUAUAGGGACAUAAAUGCCCGAAGUGGGAAACCCAAGUCGACAAUCAAAACCGAUAGGACAUGACAUGAUUCAAUCCCCAGGAAAUGUGUGUCAUAAUGGCAGUAAUCACAAAUGAUGCUUCGAAUCAAAUGACGUUUCGAAUUCGAACAGUCGUAACGAUCCAAAGGCACCGUUGAAACGCACACCAUUGCCUCAAUCUAAAAACUUCGUUCAGGGCACGAACUGUUAGAUUUCUCCUAAUCUUUGAAAUUACAAAGUCCACCCGCCGGGCCCAACAAGAGACGACCCCGACGGACGAAGGGACUAACUAGGGAUGGGCAUCGGUUGGUUCGUUUCGGUUAUGAAUGUUAUCGGUUCAUCAUAUCAGUUAUUGAUUUAUAAAUAUACUAAACUGAUAACCGAACCAAUAAGAUAUCGGUUAUGGGUAUCGGUUAGUCGAUUAUCGAUGCUUAUCAGUUCGGUUAUCGAUUUACCCGAUAAGAAUUAAAAAUAUCUAAUUUUUUUUGUUUUUAAUAGAAAUCGUGAUCAUACUGCUAAGAUAAUGGAACUGAAUUUUUGUUUUUAAAAAAGAGGGAUUAAAUUUCAUUUUUAGAAAAGAAACUUUCUUUGUAUUUGAAAAUUUCAAUGAAUGAUCUCAAAUUUCAAAGUUAUAAGUUAGUAGUAGUAAGAAAUAAGACAUUCAACAAGCUAAUCGUACUAACUAUCUCACUGGGGNNNNNNNNNNNNNNNNNNNNNNNNNNNNNNNNNNNNNNNNNNNNNNNNNNNNNNNNNNNNNNNNNNNNNNNNNNNNNNNNNNNNNNNNNNNNNNNNNNNNNNNNNNNNNNNNNNNNNNNNNNNNNNNNNNNNNNNNNNNNNNNNNNNNNNNNNNNNNNNNNNNNNNNNNNNNNNNNNNNNNNNNNNNNNNNNNNNNNNNNNNNNNNNNNNNNNNNNNNNNNNNNNNNNNNNNNNNNNNNNNNNNNNNNNNNNNNNNNNNNNNNNNNNNNNNNNNNNNNNNNNNNNNNNNNNNNNNNNNNNNNNNNNNNNNNNNNNNNNNNNNNNNNNNNNNNNNNNNNNNNNNNNNNNNNNNNNNNNNNNNNNNNNNNNNNNNNNNNNNNNNNNNNNNNNNNNNNNNNNNNNNNNNNNNNNNNNNNNNNNNNNNNNNNNNNNNNNNNNNNNNNNNNNNNNNNNNNNNNNNNNNNNNNNNNNNNNNNNNNNNNNNNNNNNNNNNNNNNNNNNNNNNNNNNNNNNNGGGGGGGGGGGGGGGCAAUUCACAGAAAAAAAUAAAAUCAUAAUCUUGUAAAGUCUAAAAAAGUAGUGCAACAAAAGAAACAAAUAGAAAAACUAAAAAUUUGAACAAUUAAUUUUUUAAAUUUUAAAACUAAAAAUCUUAAAUAAAGAAUUAAGAUGAGAAAUUCAGAAAAGUUUAAAACUUACUCUAAGGGUUAAGGUUUGAAGAUGAAGAGUAACCGCCGAGAGAAUUUAGAGAAUGAAAGAAUGCAGCCAUAAGGGUGGCUUUAUAUAUUUAAUAGGUAAAAUUAUAAUUUUGUAAAAGCUUAUUGGGCUAUCCAUUAAACCAUUACUAAAUUGGACAAACCGAGACCCGAACUGAUAACCUAAUAGUCAAAUAACAUUAAACCUUUAUCGAACUAUUUACCGAGUAACCCGAUAUCGAUAACCUAAUAGUAUUUUAUUGGUUCAGGCUAUCGGUUAUCCCCGAUAUAUGUCUAGCCCUAGAACUAACUGUAUAGGUCAAAAUCUGACUACAGUGGUCGACCAAGUUGGAACCCCGCCUAGGUAGCGGAAUAGUGAGAAGCACCACGGCUAACCUCAGUCCAAGCAUUGAUAGUGUAUCUUAAGUAAAAAUGGUACUCAAGUAACGACGGAAAAGACCAUUAUGUGAAGGUACAUCUAUCGAAGAACACAGUAAAGAUCCUAGAACUAUAUACGGAAGGGGAAUUCUCGAAAAAGAGGGUUGUAUCUUUCCUCUCUACUCUUUUUCCAACAAUUUCUUUGGUUGCAAAAAUGUAAAUUGAUUUUUCUCUCUAUCUCAUAAAAGAUGAGAUAGUAACAUCAAUAAAUACUCAUUGCUCUUAUUCUUCAUUUGUUAUCUUGCUCUAUAUUUUAAGAUCUUAAGUUAAUUAUGCUUGACUAAAAUUUAUUCCUUCGUUAUCAUUAAUUGAUUUACUAAAAAGAUUUUACUAUUUUGUAUCUUUUGAUCAAACAAUAACAAUCUUUCUAUGGAUGUAGAUCAAGAAUGUUUAUAGUGUAUUCACUUGAAUCUUACACCAUUAAUUUGGAUGUUACUUCUGCAAUACUAGGAGUACUUUUGCUUGAAGUUGAAAUUCAAAGUUUCUCAUACAUGCACCAUAUGGCGCGUUUGUAAUAUAGUAUUAGAUUGCAAUCCUAAUACACAUGAAUUGUCAAAACCUUUACUUAUAUUCACAGCAUUUGACAUAUUAGUUGGAGUUGAACCAUUUUGUAGAAUAAAAGCUUCAUGAAAUUAUACCAAAUGUGAUGUCCUUUUAUCUUAUUGUUAUGGUAUGGAAGAUAACUCGCAAAGGUCAAAAGUUUCUUAAAUUAUACUCAACUUGACUGGAAAACCUAUUAAUUUAAAGGAGAGAAAAUCUAUUAGAGCCCACUGUAUAGAUAAAUUUUGUACAACCAUGGUUAUCUUCUUAUAGAAGAAUGAAAAAUAAAAUAUGAUUAUUGAUUUCUAAAAGUUGGAUACACACGUUUGUUAUUGUCCUAGGGUUCAAUAAACCAAAUAAAAUACCAGUGCAAGAUAAGGAUCCUUUAUCGUGUAAAAUAUCUCUUUAAUAUGUUAAGAUGUAAUGGGGCAACUUAGGUAUAGAUUUCAAUUUUUGUACUAAAGGUGUUUGAGGAGUCGGGUCGACCUAAUUCUAAUCGAUGGGAACAAAUCGGACUGGCCCGAAAAAAGGGGGUGGGGUGGGGCUGGCCGAUCAUUAUGAAAACCGACGAUCAUGCUGGUUCAAAUUAGCUUACAGUGUCCCCGAAAUUGAUAAACUUAAUAAAAAAUUAGAGAUUUUUACCUUCUUAUAUCAUAUAUAAAACUUUAUUACCCUCAAUGUAUAGGGUUUGUAUUAAUUACAUUUCAGCAUUUCAAAUUAUCAUUUAUAUAUCAUAAUUCAAAUUAGGGAUAUAAUUAAGGGUACAUUUAUAUUAGGUGCUAAUUUUAGGACCGUAUCCUCCCACAUUUACCUCCCCCCCCCCCCCCAACCCCCCCNNNNNNNNNNNNNNNNNNNNNNNNNNNNNNNNNNNNNNNNNNNNNNNNNNNNNNNNNNNNNNNNNNNNNNNNNNNNNNNNNNNNNNNNNNNNNNNNNNNNNNNNNNNNNNNNNNNNNNNNNNNNNNNNNNNNNNNNNNNNNNNNNNNNNNNNNNNNNNNNNNNNNNNNNNNNNNNNNNNNNNNNNNNNNNNNNNNNNNNNNNNNNNNNNNNNNNNNNNNCCCCCCCAACACCCCCUUUAGAGAUGGACAGCAGCAUCAAUAAUAUUCAGAUUAGUUCUCAUUUACUUCCCCAAAAACCUUAACUUAGCGACUGUAUCUUCAUAUUAGUUAUUAUUUACCAAUUCUCUAUUUACACUUACAAAACAUCAAUGUAUCAUUAUUUUUAUUAACUUCUUCUUCUUCUUUUUUUUGCAGUGGCUGAAGGUUACUGGUUAACACAGUCGAUUGAAACUCGAAAAAGAAGAAGAAGAUAUAUUUCUAGAAUUUGUAGAUAUUUGUAGUCAAAUUAGAAAAGUUGUAGAUAAAUUGUAGACUAUUUUUGUAGAAGAUUUCAUAGAAGAUUUAGUCGUUUUGGAUUUGUGAAAAUAGAAACAAUGCAUUUACAAUCAGAAUACAAAUAAUAUAUAAUUUAUCUAUAAGAUAUCUACAAAAUGGAUACAUUGAAUUUUAAUAUCCCAAUUCUCAUUUCAAUUGUAGAAUAAUUGGUAUUUUCGACAUAAUUGUAGAAGAUUUGUACAAGUUUUAGUCUUCCCAAUCUAUGACUCAUCUAUAAUUUAUCUAUAAUUUAUCUAAAAUUCUACAAUUUAAAUACAAUUUAUUUACAAUUUCUAGAAAUGUGUCUUCUUCUUCUUCUUCGAGUUUCAAUCUGAAAUUCAGUCAAAACCCAAUCUAAUCUUCACAAAGAAACCCUCAAAAUUGAGAUAUAAACUCCUAAACAUAUUUUGAAUUAUUUGCAACGACACUCAAUCCAAACAAAUAAUGAUUUUUGAAAACCUAAAUUUAAAUUCAAAGCUUCAAGCUUUUUAAUGGCUAUCAAAUGUGGAAAAUAUAUGGAAGAACAGAUUUUUUCAACUUUGAGUUGUUGAAACUCAAAAUUUGCAAUUGUUCAUUCUUUUUUUUUUUUGUAGAAUUUGAAUUGUAGUUCUCGAAAACAAUACGCAGAUGAGAAAUCUCCUUUCCCUUUUAAAAAUUAAAUUUAAUGUAGAAUCAAUUAACACCAAGAUUUUCUCCUUAAUUUUAGCGUAUUUUUAGGUCAAUAGUCGAAUGGUAUAUAAAUUGUAGUUAAAGUGUGGAUUGGGCGGGUAAUUAACAAACUAUGCACAUUUAUGGUAAUAAGGUUUCAUAUAUGGUAUAGUUAGGAAUAAUUCUUAAAAAAUACCAAUUUCUUAUCGGGUCUUCGGCCUGGCCUGUGUCACACCUCCUUUUUCACUACACCCACAAGGGCGUAAAGGAGUUUUCCAAUUAAAGGACAAUCGGAACGGGAUUUGGUUAUUAGUUAUUUAGAAUCGUCACUUGGGAGAUUAAUGGUGUCCCAAGUUACCGGUUUUAAUCCCGAACCGAGAAACAAUAUGACUCUGUAUUACAGUUUGCGUACCAAAAAUCCGAAUAAGAAAUUAUGUUAACCCUGGAGAAGGUGCUAGGCAUUCCUGAGGUCCGUUGUUCUAACAUGGUCGCUCAACUGUUGUAUUUGAUUUUAUCUGAUUUUAAUACUUGCUAGCUUAUGUGCUUUUAUUCGUAUACCGCCUUUUAUUAUUAUUUAUUUUAAAAGAAUUUGCGACGUCGUGAAAACUUAUUUCGAACCGCGUCGAAAUCAAUGCACCCGUGGUUGUCAACACAUUUCAACUUUGUCGAGAUUUGGAUUUGGAUCGCAUCAAUGCGCACCCGAAUUUAAGAAAGUAAUUUAAUUAAAUCGCGCAUAAAGAUUCUAACGUAUUAUUACUUUGGGGAAGACCGUAAAAUUCGCUAAACGGCUCUCCCAAAUUCUAAGUAUUUUAUGCAACAUUUAUUGAGGGCCCCAUAAUUUUUAUUUUAUUGAGCGAGACUCGUCUCAAUUUAUUUUAAAAGGGAAACUUAACAUAAACUAUGAUUUUCCAUUUUUCAUUUGUCUGUAAUAAUUCGAACGGGUUCUGAAUUAAAGAAAUGACUUCGUUCAAUACCCUGAGCCUUGAAAUUGGUCCUGGCUAAAUUAAUCGAUGCCCAGGCGGUACAAAUGCAGCCCCAAAAGUGGGCCUAACACAAACAGAUGAUGGCGCAGACAGAUGUAUCCAUGCCAAGCCAAUAUUGACCACUUGAAUUCCAAAUUUAGGUUUCCAUUGCAUUGGAGCAAGCAUCUUCUCAAGCAGAACAACACUUUUGUGUAAACUCUUCCCCUAAUCAAUUAGUUCAAUUUUUGCACUUUCAGCUAUUUCAACAAUUCAAUUCAACUACUGUAACUCCUAUCAAUAUUCAAUUGUUCAGGGACACAUUAUCAAUACUCAAGUAACUCUUAAUUAUAAAGUGAACUGCUGCAUGCUAAUGCUCAUCAGAACCAUUUCCUGUUUCAAUUGUUUUCGAAUUUCAAAAAUGAAGCUAUAACAAGAACAUGAGAUUAAACUAGCUAAGACUAAGCCACAACUUCCAAUUUUUGCAGUUUGCAAAUUUAAAAAAAUCUACAGUCCAUAGCCUAUAUUAAUAGUCCAAUAUUUAACACAUACAAAUCGACACUUAGCUAUGACAAGAGAUUACAUUUAACAUCUAUUUAACUACUAACAUAUGAUAUUCCAGCAGGCAUUCUUCAGGAUCAAACAAACGGGCAGUUUAUUCCAUUUUUGCAAGCUCGAAAUUACAGCUGAGAUUCAAAGGUAUACCUGGACUCAAAAUAGAACAAGAGAUUGAGAGGUCAGCAGCAGCAAACAAACCAGAAAAGCAGAUUCAACAAGCCAGGAGGAUUUCGAAAUCAAAACAACAGCAUUAUGACCAGCAAUAAUCCAUUAUACUCAGUGGCGGAUCUAGGAUUUUAAGGUCGUGGGUGCUUACUUUCCUUUAAGUGCACAAUUAUUCGAAUGCAAGAGUAAAAGACUUAAUGUGAAAACUACUAAUAAUAUUAACAUUACCAAAAUAACUUCUAGUCACAAUCACAACUGUGAUCGACGACUUUUCACAUGUUGAAAACGGUGAAUAAUGGCAUUGUUGUUUACAGUUGAGAAUAUCUUACGCUCUACAUAGCAAACUAAACAACUAUUUAAAAAUCCAUCACAUAUGCUAUUACGAAGCUCAUUUUUUAUGUAGUUCAUGGAAGAGAAAGCACGUUCCACAGAAGCGGUAGCAACAGGCAGAAUGAGAGUCAACUUGAUAAGUAAAUACACUAGUGGCCAAGUUUGAUGCAGGUCUGACUUAACCAACACUUUAGAAAGGUCACUAAUUCCCUUCAUGUUGAAGAACCUCUUGUCAUGACCACGAGCAUAAACUAUAAAACUAUCAAGCUGGAAACUAAGGUGUUGAAGAACCUCUUGUCAUGACUACGAGCAUAAACUAUAAAACUAUCAAACAAGAUUUAGUUCAAAUUAAUUUCAUUCGAAAUUUACUACACAUUUUGUUAAUUAAUUUCUAUUGUGAAAACCCCCCUCAAUCAACAACACAGACAACACUGCAAUAUUUUUCAUUGAAUUUGCUUUAAAAGAAUAAACAUUAAACAAUAAGCAUGAAAAGGAUUCAAAACCCUUCUACAAAAUAUAAAGCUUAUUAGUUAUUACCUUAUGCUAUGUUCUGAUUUUGAGAUUGUUGUGAAUGACAGGAGAGUUUGCUAACUAUUUCGUCUACUUUGUUUUUCGAUUUUCCUUCACUGCGUUCCUAAUAAGUAAAAAACUGAAGAAGGGUUUAAUUUUAAAGUUUUUUGGAAAGUGGAAACAAUGUCUUUCAUUCUUAUUCCUAAAUCCUAAUCUAAUAAGUAAAAAAACUGAAGAAGGGUUUAAUUUUAAAGUUUUCUGGAAGGUGGAAACAAUGUCUUUCAUUCUUAUUCCUAAAUCCUAAAUAUAAUUAAUAUAAGAAAGUAUAAAGGUGAAAGAAAAUAGGAAAAGGAGAAAAAAGACAGCAAAGGAAACUUUUUUUUUGGGGAAAUAAAAUUUUAUUCCAACCAUUUGGUAAUUUUUACAUCAUCUGUUCCUUUGCAAUGUCAAAAGCAAAGAAAGACGGUCGUUGACAACCACUAAAGAGAAUAGGAAAAGUUAAAAAAAUAAUUCCACAAAAUACAAAAAGUAAUUGAGAAUUGCUGUGACAAGGAUUCGAACCUGGGUGUUUUGCACUCAGCAUAGGAUUUUAUUCAUGCAUCAGAACCACAGCACCCAUCAGUCAUUUUGUUUAUUGGGUGCUGGCUAAAUUAUUGUAUCCAAUUUGGUAUAUUUUUAAUAUAGCUAUACAUAGUUUAUGUCAAGGUUAAUAGGUGCUUAAGCACCUAAAUAUAACAUGUACAUCCGCCCCUGAAUAUACUACCACACUUGAUGAACUAUACCAACAGCAACAGCAAAUAUCCAAAAACAGACCCAACCGAACUCGAAUACUCCAAAAUUGAACCACUGGACCUUAGAAGAAACUCCAGCGAAUCAAAAUUAAGUUAGAAGAUCAACAUCCACCACUGACAUUCGAAAUUGACUUAAAAAUUCAAUAGAAUAGUGGUUUUUUGAGUUUUCUGCUAUUUUUCCUUUUUUUGUUUUCUUUUUGUUUGGUGUUUGAAAGCUUUUGAGAUUUGAAAUUCAGAUGAUGAAGAUCAGAUCACAGAAUGAUUCUUGGGGGGGAGUUUUUGGAGCCCAAAACCUUGCUUCUCAAGGUAUUUUGAUGCCUUUUAUAGGCCUAAGGGAGGGCAGCCUCAAUUUGCACUUUUCAUAUUAGUCCCUCACUUUUCAGCUUUUAAUCCCUCAUUUAUUAACUUGUUACUCAAGUAAGUACCUCUUAUUUUACUGAAAUCUACACUAAAGUAUAUUUUAGAAAGUCCUAGGGUGUUCUUUUAGCUACACAAAACCUAUACUACCCUUGUCUUUAUUUAGAAAUUACCAUUCCUAAUAGAACUACCCUUUUCCAUGACUAAACUACCCUCAUUUUCUCCCUGAAAUUACUACCUCAGUUAACUAAACCAAGCCCUUACCCAAGUUAAGAAUUAACUAUAUGUAACUCAAUUCAGCUACAUCCAAUCAACCUAAGCUAAGCCUAAAGACUAAAUGACCUAAUGAAUUACCCCAAGAUACUUACGGAUUAAACCAAUUAGGCUGAAUCAGGACUUCACAAAUCAAAUCAGAUGAAGAAAUUAAACAUAUACUAACCAGAACUGAAUAAAAUCCAUAGUAUAAACAGACACCAUUAUUAUUGAAACACAUUAAGACUGAACUGGGAUUAACAAACCAAAAGUAAGAACAAUUGUAUCAUGAUUAGAUUAAACACAUAACAGAAAGAAAAUAAAUUAUAACGAGAUUAACAAGAACACAGUUGAGUCAAGCAUUCAUGAAAAUGAGAGAAACACAAUUAACAAAAAUGAACAUAUGAACUGGCUGAUUGAGACAGAUGGAACGAAAAGGAAGAAAAAGAGAAACUAAACUAUACUAAUGAAGACAAGAUCAUAAAACUAAAGGACACUUACCACAGAAACCACUCGACCCUGAAAAAAAUCCCCAAAAUAGGCCAGGCCGGACGAACCCUAGAUCCGAAAUUUGUUGAGCUUCAAUGAGAUUCGAAGCGUUUUGACCGAAGAUUCGAGAUGAGGAAAGGCCGUAGACUAUCUGGUAUCGAUUUGGGAUUAUUUGGACGAUUUGGUGUUUUGGACCCGAAUUUCAAACGCAUAUUUGAGGAGCCUGGGUUUGAUUCGAGGGAAACUGUUAGCAUGGUUGGAAAGAGGAGAGUGAGGAGAGUGAGGGGUGUAAGUUUGGUGGUGGUCUGUGUCGGCGCCGCCACCGGCGGCCUAGGGAUUUUAUGGCGGCGGGAUUAGGGUUCAUGACUUGGGUCUCUGGUGAAGAAGGAGACGAGAGGUGAGGAAGGGGAGUGGGGAGUGUUUGGACACUCCUAUCUCAAUUUGGAUCAGA
rnacentral:lncRNA from 1 species